rnacentral:lncRNA from 1 species
GUUAAAGUGGGAGUACCACUAAUGGAUUUCCGUGAUGGACAAACUGCAUGGAAAGCCCGCCGUCUCCCAGCUACAAGGUGCAAUAAUAUCAUCGUUAAAAUAUCGUCUGGGAGUAAAGCCCAGCGGCUUUUCCGGCUCAUCUUCAUCUCCACAAGGAGAUGGCAUUACAGUUGUUUGUUCCGUAUUCCUACUCACACUUUCAUGGAUGGGUAAAAGACUUCUUUUUCUCUCCAUUGACGAGGGACUGAAAGCAAACAGGAAAACGAAAUUAGUUAUAUGCUUAAAAAUGAAGACAAAAGGGAUGAGGAACUAUAUAGUUGCCACAUCAACAGAUAUAAUAAGUGAAACUAUAUAGUUUCACGUUGGACAGGAAAUUAGACACAAAAAAUUGGACAGAGGAUCUGCUCUCGGGCAAGCGGGGAAUCAUUUCCCCACAUCAUUUAAUAAAUUACAUAGAAAUUUUACAUAUCCAUAUAAAUUAGUAUUAGUUAACGCUUAAUUAGCUAUUUGUAACUGGAAUUAAUUAGUUUUGUUUAGCAUUUUUUUAGCAUGUUGGGCUAGAAUAUUACUAACAGUAACAGAAUUUUAUUUAUAGUUGUUCUUUUUUCCUCUUUUUUUUUUUUUAAAGUUUGAUGAUUAUAAGAAGAAAGAACUCAAUUCGAAACUAUUCUGACAAACCCUUAUAAGAGCAAAGAGGAAUAGCUACAAUCGGUCAAGUAGACUGGAGAAAAUAAAACGAGGGAACAAGAAUCAAGACUGAAGUCCUCCUGUCAUGUUACUUUAUUCGCUACAAACAAGAUGUUCAUCAGCUUGCUUUAAGGAAAUCUAACAAGACAACUAGUAGAACUAUUUCAAGAGUUCUUGCGGAAUUUCCAGUUAUCUAAAUUUAUCUAGACCUAUCAUGCAUAUGCUCCUUGAAUUGUUGCCUCAACAUGCCAACAAGAAGUUCGGUCACUAGUACAAGGGAGAGGCAGGGGCGGGGGCGGGGGGAGUUACUUGUAGACGGGUGGCCCUGCCCCAAAAUCGCCCUGUUGCCAUCCAUUACUCUAUAUUCAAGUCAUUGUAACUGUACUAAGCAUAAGCAUGGUCAGGAGUAGUGAUAAGGCAAAAUAUUAGUGGAGUUUGGAUUCAUCGAUGUACAAUCCCAAGUCCUUAUAAAUGUACUAAUUGCAUAAGCAUCGUCAGAGGUUACUGUAAUUGCAAGGCAAAAUAUGAAUGGAGUUUGGAUUCGUCCAUGUACAAUAUUAAGGCAUAAGCAUAGUCAGUGCAAUAAGAAUAGUUUGGAGUAGUAGUAAGAAUAUUAGCAGAGUUUGGAGUAAAAGAGGGAAGGGGCAGGCAGUAGAAUGGUAGAAGUGGAACUAGAGUGAGUGGUUGUUGGGGAGGCAGGCAGCAGACUUGGUUUUGCAUCUCCCCUUCCCUGCAAAAGAAAAGUUAUAUAGGUAAUAAAUCAUCGCCAUUCAUUACUCCACAAUGGGAAGAAAAAAUCCAGAAAACCUCUAUAUGUGUUAACUGUGCUCCAAAAUUUACUUGUUUUGUCUCACUUCUGGGGUGGAGGUGCCCAUGAACUCAGUGGCAUUUCCUACAAAAAUUUUCAGGUUAAUCCAAGUAACUUCAUUAAUCUUUUCUUUUUCAGUUCUUAGUUAAAAAAUAUAUAUUCCAAGUAAGUUCCGCAAUCUUUUCUGUUAAGAAUUCCUUAAUUUCUGAUCCAAGUAAGUUUAGUAAUAUUUUCUAUUAAGAAUUCCUUAAUUUCUGGAAAUUAUAAGAAGUAUGGUACAUUUCAUAUACCUCAAGGUUAUCAACAUCAUCCGCAGCAGUAUCAUUAAGGUUCAUAUCCUGCUAUAAUCUAUUUGUUAAUUCACACACUCCAAAUGACGUUGAUUCACGAUUCAUGAUUUUUUUUAAAAAAAUCAUGAAUCGUGAAUCAACGUCAUUUGGAGUGUGUGAAUUAACAAAUAAAUUAUAGCAGGAUAUGAUUUGAACACGUAACAUAUACGUAAAAUAUGAUGGUAGAAUUAAGUAAAAUCUCACCUCUUUUUAUCCACCAAAUCAAGUAAGCGGCCAUUUGAUGUCGCAACCUAAAUUUGCGAGUCGAAUCGAGUCGAGUCAAAUUUUAGUUUAAUCAAAAUGAGUCUCGACUUAAUUUUAUCAGAUUCGCGUUCUAAAUGUAAAACUCGAGUUCGAAUUCAACCUUAAAUUUGAUUCGAGUCAAAUCAAGUCAAAUUCAAACUCGAGUUUAUAAAAUAAAAAAUAAUUAUUUUAUUUUUUAAAAAUGAAUAAAAUAGUUAAAUAAUAUAUAUGAAAUCAAAUCGGCACGUAAGUUAACAAGUUGAGUAUUUUUGACCUCUAAUUCAAUCUCGAAUCAGAGUUUUGACUCAAGCAACUUGUGAAUUAGUUUAGUGUACCAUUGGAAUGUACAUUGCUGUGAAGGCGUUUUCAUGUUUGAUCAAUGGGAAGUUAAAGUUUGUCCCCCAAUAAAAAUAAAAAUAAAACUUUUACUAUAUAUUGUGAUACGACUUUUCCCUCUUGUGAAAUGAAAGUCGUGAAUGCGGUUACACAGGAGCAUGGUGACGCAGCGCCUGAGGAUGUAGAUUCUUGUUUUCUGCUGCUUCAUCACCAUCAAACACCGCUUCCUGAACCCAUUUCUCAGGCGACUUUUGCGUCGAGAAUCAGACGGUGGUGGGAUUAAGUAAGAAAUGCUCACGGUGGUGGAGAAUGGAGACUCCUCAAAUUUUGGAUAUCAGCCAUGGGAUUGAAUUAAGGUAGAAGAAGAUGGACUGAGUUGAGACUUGGGACUUGGGACUUGGGGGCAGGGCAUAGGAAAACCCGUCAUAUAUAGAGAGACCAAUGACAGAGAGAGGCGCUAGCGACAGGUGUCAGCUACGGCGGUCCCUUUGUUUAAGUUAGAGGUCAAAUCAUGAUAAUGGAAACUACUACCUGAAAAAAUGCAUGCUCACAAAUUCUCUUUUUUUAAAAAAAAAAAAUUUUAAAAUAAAAUGUUACUUUUUCCUUGCAAUUUCUUGCCUUCCAAUCAUACUUGAGAAUAAUCUUUAUCGUCUUUUGUCUCGUAAAACUCUCAAAUAACGUUUUAAUGUUUACAAAUUUGUCUUUUCUCUUGGUUUUCUUUUCCUUAAUGUAAUUUUCUGUUUAUAUUCUUUUUUUUGGUUUUCCCUUGCUCUUAAACUCACACGCUGGACUUAGCAUCCUAUCCUUGGCAAUUAGUUUGCAUCUCAUUCUUCGAAAUCUUCUGCUAUGAACCAGAGGUGCACAGAUGCACCCUCUUCAUCGAGCCUAUAUCAGCAGGAAAAAAAAAAAACAAAAACUAUUCUGAUCGAGCCUAUUUUAGCGUACUCAAGUAAAUGACCGUCAUGUCGAUCUGCAAAAGUCCUUAUUUUCAUUGCCAAGAGUAGUAUAAGCAUGUAAUCAAAACUCACAGAACUUCCAUAACCCCCCCCCCCCCCCCCCCCCAAAAGCAACAAAAAAUGUAUUUGAAGAAGCUUUAUAAGGAGAUUUCAUGGCGCAUCAUGAGUAAGUGACCGUCAUGCUUCAACCUUCAUCUCACCUAUGAAAGUUUGUUUCGUGAAAAUAUAAACCUAACAAACGGUCCCGGACAGUUAAAGAGGGACCAAGCCCUUCUUGGUCCUCAUCCAAUUGUAGGGUAGUAAUCCACCACCCCAUCUACUCUUUGACAGGGCUACAAAUUGAGGUGGUAGUAAAGGAUGACCUCGUCCUCCCGCUAGACUCAUUUAAGGCACAACACAAGUAGUGAGGCAGCCUCUAAAGGUUACCCCGCUAUGCAAACCAAAUCUCUGACCACGAAGUUGAUGCGACAGAGAAAUUUGCUUCUCCGAUCACCUACAUGUGGGGCAAUUGAUUAAGAAGCCCCCCCCAUAACCAACCAACCAAAUCCCAAUUGCUCCUCAAGUAUACAUGUCAGUGGAAAGAUAUGGUGAAAUCAUGCAUAGUGGAAGGAAUCAAGAUCAUUUGAUGAUCCAUCAUGUUAUUGGGUGGACUAUAGACUCUAACUUCGCAUAUAAUCCUUGUUUAAUUAGUUCAAUUCAUUUGGUUGUUCAUCUGAUGUUAUUCAUCAUCAAGAGUUGUACUAUCUGGUGAAAAAAAAAAUUGCUUGCAAAAGCACCGGAAGUCAGUGACAAAUUAUCAAUACACUAAUAUUAACACUACUGUUUACGCGUUCCUCAAAAAGAAAUCAUCAAGGCGUAAGACCUAGAUUCGAUGACAAAUUCAUCCAUACAAGAUCAAUUUUUCAAGUAGAUUCAUCAUCCACGGGCUACAACUACAAGAGGAGAAAUAGCUCUCCAGUUCUGAACAGAGAGUUUUGCCCCUUUACCUCUCCAACUCCUGUACAGCUAUCAAUACAAAUGGGAUGAGUCCAUUGACCUUAAGCAAAAACAUCUCUUGACCAAAGACUUCAGCCCAUUUUUGGACUGCAGCACCUACCCUUGAUCUCUAAUGACCUUUAAUUGCUGAACCCUUCCGUUUCGGCCAAGAUCAAGAUUUGCCGGAUCAUAUCAUCAAAAAGAGUCACAUGGGUUCUCCGUCUCGCUUCCGGGAGCGUCCCCUGAAUUGCUGUCGGACAAGAUACUCAAUUUAUUGAGCUACUAAUCUGAUAAGGAGUGAUCGUGCCAACACAAAAGCAUGGUGACGCAGCGCCUGAGGAUGUAGAUUCUUGUUUUCUGCUGCUUCAUCACCAUCAAACACCGCUUCCUGAACCCAUUUCUCCGGCCGCUUUUGCCUCGAGAGCCAGACGACGGUGGGAUUAAGUAAGAAAUACUCAUGGUGGUGGAGACUGGAGACUGGAGACUGUCUACCUGGAACUUCGGAAAUUAGCUUUGAGAUAGAAUUAAGGGAGAAGAAGAUUGAUUGAGCUGGGAGCAGAGUAUAGGAAAGCCCGUCAUAUAUAGAGAGGCCAGAGAGAGAGGCUAGUGCUAGAUAUCGUGGUCCCGUUGUUUAAGUUUGCGGUCAUAUCAUAAUAAUGGGUAGUAAAACCUAAAAACAUGUAUCCUUACACAUUUUUUUUAUUUUAAAUAAAAAAUAUUAUUUUAUCCAUGCAAUUUCUUGCCUUCCAACCGAACUAAGAAUAAUCUUAAUCGUGUUUUGUCUCAUAAAACUCUCAAAUAACCUAAAAGAAUAUUUACAAAUUUGUCUUUUCUCUUCAUUUUUUUACCCCUUAAUGUAAUUUUCCGUUUAUAUAUAUAUAUAUAUAUUGCUUUCACAUGCUCUAAAACUCACAAACUAAGGAUCCUACUAUUCAAAACUAGUUUGCAUCCUAUUCUUUAACAUUUUCGACUAUAAACUAAAGCCUGUUUGAAUUGUAUUUUUUAAAGAAAAAUUGUUGCGUUUUUUUAAACACAUUUUCAAUCACCUUUUUAUCUCACAUAUAUUAAAUUGUUACAAUACUUUUUUUACAAAAAGUCCAGAAAAAUGCGAUCCAAACAAAACAUAAGUGCAUGGAUGCGCCAUCCCUAAAAAAUGUGAGCUCCACCCACAUAUUUACGUGGAGUGGUCUAUAGUUAAAAAAUAUAUAUGUAUUCCUUUUUCUUAAGUAGUACCACAUUCGAGUGGCUUAUUUCAUUUAAAUAAUUGACACAUGAAUGUGCCAAAAUACGUUUUACGACUACAAGUAAACAGAUAGUCUAUACACUAUACAUCUCUUCCCCCCCGCUACAACUAACUAAAAGUAGGCUGAAACUUUUUUGGGAAUUAAAAAAGAAGCUUAAUUAUUGGCAUACCUUUGAGCUCAACAUUUAAUGAUUUAAAGCUUCAAAAAUUGUGGACUUUAUGCAACUGCGCAUUAAUUUCGGUGGUGGGCAUGGACAAGAGUCCAUUGUUCUAGGUGAUCAUACGUGUAACAUGGUAGUAGUACUAGUAGCAGCACAAAAUUUUGACCGAAAAUUUUGCAGGUUUCUGGCGGGUGGGGGCAGAGCUUGACCGGCACAGGCCUCCUCUCUCGAAGGCAAUGUAAUGGAUAAGACUGAGCAAAAGAAAGAGCCGUGUGGAAGAGAACCAGAAACCUGAACAAAUUCACUUUUGAUGCUUUUAUUUUAUGCAUGGAUUGGAUACAGAGAAAGAGACAGAAGCAGAAAUGGGGCUGAAACUGGAUACUACAAGUUGUAGCAGUUGCUCCGACUGCUCUACGUGUUCAAUUCAAACACGUUUUUCUUUUUUUCGAAGUUUCGGAAGGCGCAGAACUUUUUCAAUUUCCACUGCUGUUACCAUUAGCACACCAAUAAAGAGUUUGUUAGUAUAUAUUUUCGCCUACCAUUCCAAAAUUCCAUUCCUUACAACUGCAAGCCGCCAUAGAACUUAGCCUAACGAACAACAACUUCUUUUUUUUUUUUUUCCACUUUCAAAAAAUUUAUAAUUAAAUUUUUGAUAGCCAUUAGGGAGGGGCUUAAGUCCCUCUUUGGGGUUGUAGGUGAGGGUUCAAGCCUCACCUGUAGCGAAAAAAAUCUAAGGAUUGUGCCAUAGCAUUCCCUUGGUUUAGUUGAGUCUGUAUACUCACUAGCCCACUAUCACAGCCUCCUUAGGCUCCUCUUCUCCCCUAUAUUAGGAUAGAGUAGGUUAUACAAAUAUAUCGUUGCUGACAAAAAAAAAAGAAAAGAGAUUUGUUGCCCUUUUGUGUCAGCGUGUCAUUCGACCAUUUGUGACAAAAGAACAUUUUGCACGCAGCUUGCAUAGCUACUGCUCUGUUCAUAUAUUAAUUAGGUUUGUUUGGAUAGAGUAUUAUUUGGAAUAAUUACUGUAGCACUUUUUGUGAUGUGAUGUAUGUGAGAUAAAAAAAUAAUUGAGAAUAUAAAAAGGUGAAUUGAAAAAUGUGUUUAUGAUCCGAGUGAAAUAUUAUUUGAGAUAUUUGUGCUAUCCAAACACGUUAUUGUUCCUCCGGACAAAAAUCGAACGCAUAUCACAUCAUGUGGGACCAGUCUUAUCUCCUAUGACAUGGCUGAGGUUCCACUGUCCAGGCGUAUAUUCUCCUUGGUAAUUUGGCAUCAUUUGAUGAAAGAAUUGCUCCUUAAUUCUGAAUAUUGGUUCAAUUAUUGGAAUUUCUUAAAUUAGUUGAGGGUUUCCCUCAAAGUGUAAAUAUGCUGUCCCCGUUUAUAAAAAAUAAAAAUUAAAAAAAAGGUGAGAAAGAAAUGCUGUCCCAGUCGGAUUCGAGAUCAAUACAGGAAUAGUUGAAAAGAUUUUGUUAACUAAUACGGAUUAAGGUGUCAUAAUCUUGAGGUAUAUUUUAAAGGUUUACGGUCUCUCUCUACUCCCAAGUGGACAAUUUUUGUCAAAUUGCUGACUAAUGUUGUUUGGCUGUUCUUGCAAAUUCAUUGGAUCAUAUCAAAUUUUACAAGAUCGAGUAAGAAAUUAGUUUUGGCAGCUUUGAUAAUUAUAAAGGUGGGCGGUAAACACCCACUGGCUGCUUCUAGAUUGCGACGCCAGGAAGAAAUAUAUAUAUAUAGUUCAUGUGUUUGGUUAAAAAUCAGGUAUUGAGAUACAUAAAAUAUUUAUAUAUUAUGUGAUGUGAAAUGACAUUAUUAUUAUUAUUAUUAUUUCUGAGUUCACCAAAUCAUCCAACUAAAAUCUGUAAAUGACGUGUUAAAUACAUGUAAUCUUUCAGAAUGGACAACUUCAAAAGCAAUUUUGUGCAAUGAUUCACACCAAAUAUUAGGUACAUUUAAACUAAUAUUGCUGAGCGGCUUUCGUUAAUCUCUCAUUAUGGUCAUAUCCUUUGAUCCUUAAUAAUUAAAGAAAAUUGAAUGUACAUUUUACGACCAAGCAUUUUUCCAGUAUUUGAGCUUAAUGCACGUGAGUUUCAGCACCCCCCCCCCCCCCCCCCCCAAAAAAAAAAAAAAGAACCAGUAUGGUGUCAUGCAACAUGAUCCCGAGUCAGGAGGACGGGCAAUUCAAACGUGCGAUUUUGUUUUAUCUCAUUGGCUGCAACCUAAUAUUGCUUGCAUCCAACAACCUCGUCCGGCACAUCACUAUCAAUUUUUUUUUGUCAAUCAUAGACAUCUAAUACUACUCAUCUAAUAGUACUCCUAAACUAAACUAGCAUAUGGUCCUAUACUAAGGGAAAAUCAAACUAUUCCUAUUACUAAAAUUUAGAGACAUGCGAGCUAUUGGUGCGGGAGUGGUUGUUCAAAACGAUCAAAAGAAGUGAAGGGGCAGCGUGCAAGUAUGAUCCCGUUUUACCUCAUUGAUUAAAUUCAACAAUCCCGUUGGCAUUUUAGGAUGAAAUAUUUAUAUUGGUGCUCAAGGCACAAAUCAUUUUUUGUACAACUAAUAGAAAAAAUAUUAUUAAAGUUUUUGCAAUAUUUUGUUGAAAUAAUUUUUGGGAGAAUUGGUUUUAUGUUUUUGACAAUAUAGAUGGCAGAAAAUUCGCCAAAAAAAAUUGUAUAAAUAGAUAGAUAGUCAUUUGAUGCUAAUCAGUAGCCAUAAUUGAUAGUAGUUGUUAACAAAAAUUAGGACGUACUAAAUAAGUUGAAAAAUAGAAUAAUAUGAAAUACAUGUUAUUUGGUAAGAAAGAGAUAUUGAUCGUGUCGUAAUAAGUAAUUAUCAAGAACAAUUUAAGUAUAACAUAAGAUAAUAUGAAAUUUAUUUAAACAAAAAAUUUUCUCCCCUCUAUAUAUAUAGAGUGUAGAUGAAUUGAUCGCUAAGCCAUCGAAAUAACUUUAUUGAAUCAAAUCACUUGUACUCUUUUGUCAAAUCUAGAUGAUGGAAUACUACUAUGACAAAACUUUCGAGUCAACAUAAGCAACGUCAGCAAUAUCACUAGGAGCUAAACCCUACUGAAAGAAUUACUAUUAAUCUCGUAGCUUUUUCAGUUUUACAAAAUCGAAACAAUCAUUCCAAAAUCAAAUCCCUAUGAUUACCAAGAUAUCUCUUUUGAUUAGGAUCUAUCUUUUUACCCGUUCAAGAUAUCUUUUUGCUUUGCGAGCUUCAACAAGCUUGGCACGCCUGUUGACUUUUCGGUGGAGGUAUACGAAUAACAGAUUAGGGAACCAUUUAUACAAUGCACAGAUUAAUUUACACACAGUUUGGGACGCUUUAUAGGGAUCAUACACACCAUAAAAAGUAAAAUAUCGUAUCUACAUCUUCAGGUGGUAAUACUUGUCGAGCAGCUUCUCCGUAUACUCGCCAAAAGUAAGAGAUCCACGAGAUGGAAUUAACUGGAUAUUACGUAUUAGGCACACAGAAAAACUGAAUAAAUUUAACGUACCGACAUCCAGAUACCAAUGCACCAGAAGAUGGCUAAAUAUGGACGCUUUAAACGGAUCGCAAUUCACAUGUCAUACUCUUUCAAAUGAUUGGGAUUCAAAAAGGUACCUGUUGAUGAAUAUGCACCACCUCCGGAAACUUGAGCUUUUCGUCCCUAACAAUGACAGGUACAGUAGAAGCAUUAGAAAAAGCUGUAAACAGAUUGAACACAGAAAAGGAGACGUAAAAGUGGCGAAACAAAUUACUCAGAACAUUACCAAAUCCCGCCAACAAAAGGAAUAGGUAGGCGCAGGGGCGAAAUUGACUGUUAAUACGCAACCGCCUUAAGUUCCCGCAGAAGGCAGUCCUACAUGAUGACUUAACGUAUUCCCGCUUUGUUGUGUCACUUCAUAAAUCAUCUACAGUUUAGCAGUUUAUACCUCUAGACUGUUGAAGCUAAGAAACCUAUAAUGUACAAAUUAUUUUCUGAGGACUUUUGUUGGACAAUCACCUAAAAAGAUGCACCGCUAGAUUCCACAUUACCGUUCUACGUUCUCUCACUUUCCUGCAGCCACUUGAUCUUAUGAAUAACUAAUUAAACCUAUCAAAGGCCAAAAAAAUUCCCAACUAUGUUUUCACGUGAACAACAAGCGCUGUUCCUGUAAUCUAUAGGCUAACAAGACAAUUGAACCCCUCAAACUGUAACGGCUAAAAGAACUGAAGUUCUACUAGUGUAAGUUUACUCAACCAACGUCUGAUAAUUCCCCUUUAUGAAAUAAGAGUAAUUACUCUUAUGCAACCAUGUUAUGCUCCAACAAAAAUAAAAAUAAAAAAAAGAAAAGAAAUAAGAGUAGUUACUCAUAUUUUGCAAGUAAUUCUGAAACCAAAUUAAUCCAACAAGGUGCUUACUGUGUGGGGAAUGAAAGUGCUACAUAACUUGCUUACUAAUAAUUAUCUGAAGGUGAGAGCACAAUCAAUUAGAGAUUCUAUGGCUGGUUAACAAAGCAACAACUGAGUGUGCAAGCCAACCACCCAAGUCAACCCUACAGUCACCUGAUGACAUGUGUCUGUCACUCACUGACAACCCAGCUUCAACAGCCAAGAUUCUUAAUGUAAAGCAAGUUUUAUGAGAAAAAACAAACUCAGUAUGAGCACAAUCAGCCUACAUAGACUAGUAAUCUACGACACUUAAACAAAAGCAAACAGGACAGUAACACACACAUACCAGUCAGGCUGCAUGAAUAAUGCAAAUGUCGAACGAUCAACGCCAAAUGCUGCUUCCCCCAAGGGUGCCUAAUUUCAAUGCAUUAUAGGUUUAGGAAGUGAAGGAACAGAGAAAUUAAAGGAUGUUACAGGUUGAGAAACAAACAAGUAACAUGUCCUAGGUCUUUCAAGAAAAAGUGGACAUCUCUGGUUGCAAGAAUCUGUCUUUUAUCCAUCAUCAUUUUUUAAAAAAUGUAUAAUAAAAGAACGUAACACAACCAUUGUCAUUUUUUUACAGUAAUUACUCAUGUUAAGUGAUUCACUACGACAAGAACUUUGGAGAUUUCUCAUAUACAUGCUAGUGGAUAGUUUCUUUAUAUGGAAAGUCUCCAAAUCUUCAGCACCUUCCAAGUAUAGGGCAGUCAAACCUCUUUAGUGGAUGGAUAUUAAAACUCUUGCAGUAUGAAUCUUAAAAGUUGUUAAUUCAAGCUUAUUAACAAAUAUGCUCUUCAUUAAGGAGUAAACUUUUGGUAUACUUCACAUGAAACAAAUAAAGAGAACAAAUUAUCUCGAGGAGUGCCACUAGAUACUUGGAGAAUGAGAGCUAUAUCGAAUUAAAAUCAAACUCUGGAGGAGUAAAAAGAAUUGAAAUGUUAAAAUAUUACAAGCAGAUAUCAAUAUAAUAGGACAGCAGACACAACAAAUUUCAGACUCGAUUUUAUGAAUUGCAAAAUGUUAAAGCCACUCUCGCUCCCUAAAACUUAGAGAGAGAGAGAGAGAGAGAGAGAUGCCCAUGCCAUCUCUCCAAGAAUCUUGAAAGCGCAUAAAGAGAGAAGGAGAUACCCGAACACAAUGUGGUGUUGCACAGAGCCGACCUCUGGACAAUAUCUCAGUUGUCUCACCUAUUUGAUAUGCAAUUUCAUCUUCACCAUACACCACCUAACUCAAUAAUCAUCAUUUGCCUGGAUUAGAAAUUACUACCCAUUUUGCGGGGAAACAAUAUAUGAGUAUCUAAGAUGGAAAUUCUAAAGACCAAUUUUAUAGUAAACACACUAUUUCAAAGCACGCACAGACAUGGCAUAUCAACAUUUCCCACUACAACUACCCAACUUUCUGCAUUUUGGAAAACCAUCUUAAGGAGUUAUUUCAAAUGCAUCUUCAUUAACCUUGUUGAUAUCAGAAAACUGAGAGAAAAAGAGUAGGGAAGAAACUCUCUUCUCUUCUUUGAAAUGAGGAAAGGAUUGCUGAUGGAAAAUAUUCAAACAUGAGCUUAACUUGCAAUGGUACAAGGAUUCUGUUUUAGGAUUGGCCCCCAUUGUAACUAAAUUAUAUCAUAUCAUAUCUCCAGUACAAUCAUAAAUAUGUCUGAAAUAAGUUGGUAUCUUGAGAAAGAAACCUAAAAUCAGCAAUUGUGAAACAUAUACAUAACACAGAUAAGCACAUAUAGAUAUAUCUAUGCAUGCAUGCAGGUAUAAUGUGAUUUUCCAAACACAAUUUUCUUUUGAUUUUGAAGCAUAAAGAAAUAUACUUUGACUAAUUGGCCACUACGUGAUUUUACAUAAAGCCCAGCAGCAUUAUCAGGGCAAGAUAUUUCUACAGCAUCCUUCUUAAACAUGGCACGCGUGAGACCUACAUGUUCAAUUCAAGCAACAAUUAGACAGAAACAAGAAAGCAUGAAGGUGCAGACUUAAACUUCAAAAAUAUAAGUCAAAUACUCAAAACUUGAGUAGUCGGAUGGAUGAAAGGAAUGUUGUACUUCUUUCAGGAAAAGUCGACCAGGUAUCUAACAUCCAAGGAGGGAAAAGGCAAUUUAAAUUUUUGCAAGGUUUAAAAGAAGGGAUUUGGGCUACAUGGUUUGACUUGACUUUAUGUUUCAGAGUUUGCAUACAAAGCACAUAUAAGUUGAACUGUAACUAAACUUUAUUUUACUCGUCUGUGAAUGGAUACUUUAAAAGUCCUAGUGUAGGUUGGAAAGUAAUUAAACAGAUGCAUAUCAAUAGCAUGAGUUCUGCCUUCCUGUUCCUUGAAUUAAGCAAGGAUGAUAAUUUUUCCACUUUUUCAUUUCAUUUGACAAUGGUAAUCUAUAUGUUUUAGGCACCAUGGAUGCAUUGAAUAAGAAACUGUUGAUGGUAAAAGAGGUGGAACUUAUAGAACAGAAGAUUGCAAUUCACUAAGACACCACACAAGAGAUGUCUCUAAUUAACAGCUCUUUUGCUAGGAGAAUAGACUAACAUUUGGCAUAUUCAGGAAAUGUCCCAGCACAUUUAUGUGCUUGUGGUCCAGGUGACCACAAUUUUAUAAUCGUCCCUAGGGUAGGGCCUAAUUUCAUUUUAUGACUGUUCCAGUACUUAGCCCCUUAUAGUUAUUUGACCCAGGUACCAGUUUUCAGACAUGACUUACCCGUCAGAGAACCAUGAUCAGUGUGCCAUCCACACCAAGAUGACAUCGACUCACCAUCCUGACUGCAACUACUGCAGCACAAGUCAUAUAAUUCUGGUAAAAGAUAUUCAUUGAGAUCUUAACCAAGAAUUUUCCAUCUUGAGAUACAGGAUAAUGAAGAUCAACAUUUUUCUUCAGUAAGGAUUGUAUAGAUGUUUAAACUAAGAAAAGAACCUCAAGUAGAUUUAGUAAAAGAUGCAAAAAGUAACUGGCCAAAAAGAAAAUAAUCUCAUGCAAAUACAAGAAACAAUAAUCUUAGUGAUGCAUCCAUAAGCUGAUGGAGAUAUUGAACCACCCCCUUACCCACCCUCCCCCCCAACAACAAAAAAAAAAUCCACCCCCAACCCUAAAGGGAAAAGAAGAAAAGGAAAACAAAGAUCCCAAGCGAAAGAAAAUCAAAGCAUAAAAUGACCAGUCCCACCAUCAGCUAUGGACACGGUUAUAAUUAAGAAUAUUUAUCUAUUAGAAAUUGGAGAAUGAGAAGCACAUUCACUAUCAAACGGUCAGUCUAACUAGUAGGAAAGUCCUUGAAGAAGAAAAUCACUGGUAGGAAGAAUGAAGCAGUAUGCCAGUAUCGCAAAGAUGGCCAUCAGAUGAUUACAGAACAUCAAAUUUUCUUUUAACUUUUCGCAACAAAUGGAAAAGAAUUUAUUACAAAGACUAAGCACUAGUACUGUCCAAAUAUAUUGAACAGAGAAGGGUGAGAGACAGAAGACUCUGUUCAGAGUAGAACUUGUAUUCCAUUGAUAUUUCAUCAUUAUUGUUCUGGUAUAUUUAUCAUUUAUGAACAUUGUUAGGCCUGUGCUUCAUUGACUAAGCAUCCAUAUUUUCAAUAAAAAAGAUAGCUUAAGUGCCAAAAAUUUCAAUAUUUUUGCAGUCAUCAUCUCAUAAUCAAUUAAUAAGCAGUUUAAACAUUUAAGUUGCUUACAAGUAACCUAUGUCUCAUUCUACUUACGCAAUUAUUUAUUCAACUGAUUCAAACAAAACAGAAUUAUCUUUUCCCUUUUUUCUGCAUUAACAAAAUUCAAUGUGCAAUAUAACCUUAUGAGAGAUAGAACUUAUAUAUUGGUAAUACAUAUAACAUGGACUAAACUUCACAGGGUAAUAAUAGACAAGUAAUGAGGAAACUAACCUGUGUUUCGCAGGAAAAUAGUACAACAGACGACCUUUAUGACAUCUUGAGCGACGAAGUAUCUGUUCAAGGCCAUCAUCCUCAAGCAUUUUCAUCCCUUGAAAUGCUGCAGAUAUCCAUAUGGAAUUCACUAAAUACACAAUACCAAUAAUUCUCAAGUAAAACUACAACAAGUACAAGCAGAAAGGUCCUCAUACAUGUUAGAAAAGAGGUCUGGAAUUAGGAAACCAAAAAAAAAAAAACCAGGAGGCAAGUAGAUAAGUGAAAAGAAAAGAAAGCAUUUAAGAUCAACUUACCAUAGAGGUCACAGUGAUAUGCCAACAACAUCCCAACUUCCAGAAUCAGCUUCCCGAGAGGUUUAAAAGCUACACAUUGAGGAUAGAUGCUAAGUAGCUAUAACAAGAUGAACUAACCUUCAAAGAACAUAAAGAUGCAAUUAAGUUGUAUAUUCAUGAAUAUCAUUUUGCACCAAAAUGAAUCAAUAUAUAAUUUAUGCCUAUUCCAUCACAUAUCAAAUGAAGAAGGAGAGAACCAACCCCUCCCCCCCCCCCAAAAAAAAAGGUGCAGGUAAAGGCAGUAAACGUAAAUGAAAUUCCAGAUGAAUUUUACAGCUAUUCCAUCCCUAAGGUGUUGAAUCGCUCAUUCCAUGAAGACUAAUUUAACUCCAAUGAUGUAGAUAAACUAACAUAAACUAAUGCAAACACUGAGAAGUACAUUAAUGAGUUGGAUACAAUAAAUCUAGACAUCAUGAUGAAAUCAGAAAUGAGAAACACAUUGUAAGAGUGAUAUUUCAAGGAUUGAAUUUGACAAUUAAGCCGCCACGACUUAGUUUAAAAAAUUAUGCAGUAGGCAUUAUAAAAUCCAGCUCGCACAUUUGAAUUGAUAGUUCUUCUUAAUCUUACAAGUUUCAAUCAAUGAUCUGGAUACAUACUAAUUAUCAAAGGCAGUUGAUUCCCCACACCUAAACUUUUACCCAUAUUAACUGUAGUUCAUGCCGCUCCAGAUUUUUGAAACUUGUAAGACAAGUUUGACGUCCAUAAGAAAGUAAUAAGUGUUAGAUUAGAUAGGCUGAGCAUCUAGAUGAGCAUAUACUAAGUGUCAGGACCAAAUGUCAAGAACAACCUGAUUGACAAUUCAAGCUGAAAAGCCAGUGUAUCUAUCUGUAACUUCCAAAGAGCAAGAAGAAAAACUAUUUCAGAAAUACAUUACAUACCUGGUUCGAGUUCUGGGAGAGCACUACGAGGCCAAAUAUUUGCUCCACAGUAUGAAGGGUACCUAUUAGAAAUGGCACAGCAGAAGUUUAGCAAGACCUACAAGCAUGGGUACUCUUCACAAAAUUGAAAUUUGUACAAGAAAAUUCUGAUGAACUUUCUAGCAAAAUAUUUCCUUUAACUCAUUUGACAGAAAUCACAAGAGAUAUCGAAUGAGUCUGAUAUAUUUGCACAUGAAAGUAGCCAGUCAUAAUAUUUCUAAAUGAAGGAUAACACUAGCCACAUGUACCGUUGAAUAAGGGCUGGGUCACUGGUAGGUUUAUCUAGUACUGGAUUUGCGUAAAAUGACCCUUUCAGUGUAUCUGCAUUCAAAGACAACCACAACAGAAGAGAAGAUGUUAUCAAGGUGAUUGUAGACUGAAAAAAAUAUGCAACUCAAACACAGUAUUGGUCACGAAAGUUGCAGCUUUUUACAAGAGGAAUACCCUGAUGGUUAAGAUGAAUGUAAAUCCAUGACAUUGUGGUGUUAAAGAUGAAAAGAUCAAACCUACACAGACCAAUUACAAAUCUCACUGCCAUAGAAGCUUUGAACUUCACAUUGUCCACCCACACACAUUAAUAUGGUUCAAAUGACCAAAUCAAAAGAUACCAGUUGAGUCAAUGUACCAAUUGCACAAGCUUUACCUGGCUUUCCGGAUUCAAGCUUCUCUUUUCCAUGACUCCAUCCGAAGUUGUAUCUGCAUAAUUUCAACAAAAUUUUUGACACAUUUGAGUCUGUAUACAGCAGGUGGGACAAAAAUUAUGUUUACAAAAUUUUCAAGCUUAAUAAGCUAAUGAACCAAAUUGCAAGAGAUGAUGGUGACCAAGUUUAUACUAACACCAAUGAAGUACAUGGAAGCAACCUAUUUUAAUUCCACUAUCCAAUAGUUGAAAAAAGGUUAUUUCAGAAUUAUUGACAGUGUGCUUAUAUUACCUACUAUCAGGGUCUUCGAGGUCCCUCUUCUGAUCAUCUGAAAGGCCUGCUAAUCUGAUACAAAGAAACAAACUUAGAAAUCCUGAACAUCUCCUUUGUGUAAGUAAUCUUUGCGCGUUCAACUAACGUGUAAACAUUUCAUGCAGCAUCUCAUACCGAGGUGAAAGAUGGAGAAGGUUUUGACGCAAUGAUGAAUACCCAGGAACCUAUAACAAAAUCAGUUAGACUGAAAAAUAGGCAAGAACAACUACUAGACUUAAAUUGAUACAAAAAAAAAAGCAAGACGCAAUAACUACACAAUUCAGCAAACAAAUGCAAGAACUUUCAUGCAUAAAAACCAUAAGAAGCACAAUCUAUAUCCAAUAAGUAAAAAAGAGGUGGUUUGCAACAAAGUAUAUUAUGUACAUCUGCUAUAGAAAGAAUUCCCAAACCAUUUGGCCCAAAGCCUUCCUCAAUCUUUGCGGACAAAUCAGCACCUUUAUCCUAGUUCAUAAAUACACCAGAAAACAAAUUUCAGUACGCAGACAUGCACAUGUCUAAAUGUAUAAAAAUUCAUGCAUGUGAGCAAAGUCUCUUUUUUUUUUUUCUUUCUUUCUUUCUUUUAAGUACUUGGACGCGUAAAUUUAGAGACCAGUUUUUAGAGUUUCCAUCAUACUUCAAAAUUAACGCGACGUUCACUGUAAAUGAACACUGCGAACCUCAAGUAAAUUCCAUUCUAUUGACUCCUAAAAACAGAAUAUGGCAAUUAGCUCUCUGAUCAUGAACUACUGACAACGAAUGAAAACUAGUAGUAGUUAUUAGCUACUUGAUCUGCUAAUGCAUUUCCCAGAUUUGCAAUCAUAUUACAGAGAAACUUUGUAUACAUAUUCUCGCACCUAUGCUAACACCUAAGCACAUGUCAAACAACAUGCAUGCAUACACAGACGAGAAAAUUCCAAUGGCAAUGGCAACUCUAAUGCCAGAGUUUGUAAAUUAGCCCAUGAGUUUCCAACAGGGACAAGUAAGACGUGGAUAUACCUAACUAUAUAACUAUAUAUGGAGAAGUUAGUGGCGAUUGGCGAAAGAAACAUGGAUACCUUGAGUUGCGUGUAUGAAAUAGAAACUGUUUGAACAACGUGAGUCUGAGGUUGAGAAGAGCAGGACGACAUUAUUGGAAAUGGAUGAGUAAGACGACUGGCGGCGGAAGGCUGCGGAGGUGAAGGCAAUCGCAGGGGACCGUAUUGAAAGAGCGAUUGAGAGAGAGACUUCAGAGAGUAAUGGUGGUGGUGGUGCUUUGAAGAUUUAAAGGUGGAGCCGGCUGCAUACGUAGGGGGAAUUCUGGAGAAUUAGAGAGGCAUAGCAGUAUAAGUAAGCUGAAAUUGUGGGUUUUAAGCAAGGGACGGAGUCGGGAGGAAUCCGAGCCGGAAUAAGUUUAAAAUAUGGAAUACAGGCCUCCUCUGUUGCGUAUGCACCACGGCGAGAGCGGCGUCUGAUUCUCAACUUCGACUUCCCCAUCUUGUCCUGACGUGACCUGGGCCAUGUCCGUUUUGAACCCAGUAUGCACUGGUCAUCAUUGGUUGAGUUGUUCUAAUGUUGCACGGACCUUCAAAGAGCAAUUCCCACGUUUCUUAUGGAUUUCAAAAUCAUUCUGCGGGGAGGGCGUAAAUUUCAAAUUUAAUGAAUUUAUAUCUUGACGUGUAACGCGUCUAAUAAUUAAAAAUAAAAUAUUUGAAUUAAUUAAUUACUUAGAUGAUAUUAAAUUUUUUAAAUAAAAUUAAAUCUAAAAUAUAAGUGAUGAAUUCUAGAAGAUAUCAAAUUUAGUAUUUAAUAGUUUAAUAAUUAAAGUGAUUCAAACAUUUUUAUACCUGAAUUUUAUCAAACGCACAACCUAAAAUGACUCACAAUGAUUCAAACAUUUUCAUUUAACUGAAAAUGAAGGUUAUGGCCAAUUGGUUGGUAUCUUUCUGAAUGCCAAAACUUCUAGUCUAAACGCCCCAAUGAUUUUGAAAUCCAUAACAAACUUGGAUGGGAAUUGCUCGUACAAACCACAAGGCACUCGUGGCAGUUGGAAAAGAUUAUGCGCACUUGACACGCGCGUGCUAUUUUUAUGUCGUUGAAUUUCCUCGCUUGUAUGUAUACUGUAUAGCUCUCUCUCUCUCUCUCUCGUCAAUGCUGUUCAACGAACUGGAAAAUGGGAAUCAGUAGUGGUAUCACGACCAUCUGCUGCUGCAGCGGCACUAGUAUAAGCAAGCUCCACUUCCACCACCAUCUUCCUCGCGCAUCUAUUCCCUCCAUUUCUCCGUCUCCAUCUCCAGCUCUCCAGGGUAGGAUCAAAUUUUCAUCAUUUUCUUCGCGGUCUGUUGCAGCAGCACGACAUCGUUUGGGUUCCGCCACCGCGUCAUCUGUUGGCAGCAGCUGCUUCACAUGGGAUGAUGUAUUUCGAGCCGGUGAAUCAAAUGAAACUGACUCUGCGUCUGACCUCGGAGGCUUCUUUGACAGAGUCAUACUCUGCAACCGCAAUUUGGUAAUACUGCUAAAAACUAGCACCUCAACACCCCCCCCCCAACACCCCCACCAAUUGAACAAUAUGCUAAGCUAUAAGAUACCCUUUCACAUAUCUGUACUUUUAUAGUAUUUAUUUUUCUGAUUUAAUUGGAAACCAAUUUUGCAGGAGAAGCUAAAUGAGUUUAUGCCAUUCGUCAUUGCAAAUCAAAUAGUUGGCUAUGUACAUUUUGGGUAAGCCCAUUGUAGUACAUCUUAUAAUUCUCUAAAGUUAAUCAUUUAUUGUAUAUCAGUAUUAUUGUCUUUUAUAUUGAUUAUGAUUUUUUUAAUGAAUGCUUAAUAUUAUUUUGGAGGUUGUAGAAUUGAACAAAAAAGUGGCAGCUUUCAAGGAUGUCCCAACUGUGUUGUUAUUUCUGUAACGUUAUGUAAUUGGAAAAAUUAGCACGAGGAAGUGGAACUUUAUGUGUAGAGAAAGUGAAAUUAAUCAAAUUGAUAUUAAUCAGCAGAUCAAUUAAACCUUACCCCCUUACCAGUGAAUGUACUUGUUCCACUGACCUGAUUCAUGAAUCUAGUUACAAAUGAGAAUGCUUCUACAGAUGUUAUCGCUUCAGCUCGUUUGAAUUUCAUAGGGUUCUUUCCUUCUUUAUUCCUUCUUCUUGUUAUUUUUCCAACACGGUGUUUUCCAUGUAAUGUAGGUUUGCAGAUCAUCUGAGGAAGUUCAGGGAUGUGUUUGUCUUCCAAAAAGAUACCAAGGCUUUCAGCAGCAAUUUCGGGUGCCAUGUCACUCUGCAUUCAUCUCUGACGACUGCUGAGGAUCGGACAAGAGCUGUUGGAGAUGUUGUCAAGUGUUUGGGGGAGGAACUGAUUCCAGGUAUACGAAAUGAGGUACUUAAAUCACUGGAUGCUCCCUUUUCAUCUAAUUUCCUUAAUGUGGUUAUAGUGGCUGUUUUGCUUCUAUGAUUCUGAUUUUUUGAGUUUAAUCACCAUUCCAUAGGCACUUCUUCUUGGGUUAACUCUUAAUUCUUUUGAUUUGUGCAGCUAUUCCCUGUCGUAUCUUCUUUUGGUUCGCCUAUAUUUUUUUCGGUUGAACGAGCAGCAGCACCAUACUUUGGGACAAAGGUAUAAAAGAGUCUGUUCCCUCAUAAUUCUAUGGCUUCUGAACAUUUUGAUGCCAUACAGUUCAAAUUUUUAUUCUGAAAUAAAGAUAUAUUGCCAAUGUAGUUAUGGGUGCAGCUUACGUAAUGGUUAGUGAUAAAUGCUUGUUCUUAUUACAUCUUGGCCUCCUAAUUUUAUACUGACCAUUGCCAUUGCCAAGCACCCAAGAACAGUUUCAGUAAUAAGGUUGUUUCUAGUAUCCUACUACCAUUUGUGCAGGAUGGCUAGCUUGAACAUAUAUUGGGUGCUACUCUUUUGGUUACUACUAGUUGUUUCUAUAAUUUUUGGAUACCUUCCAAUAAUUACUUAAUUGGUAGCUAAGUUUGAAAAUAAACCUUGUGAGAAUUGUGGCAUUUUAAGAUGAAAAGGAGGAUUGGAUUAGGAUUCAUGGCUGCAAUUUUUGCCUAUAAAACUUAUUGAUCCUCCUCCUCCUCCUCCUCCCUCUGUCUUGUGUCAUGUUAUGUUAAAGCAGGCUUAUGGGGUACACAUGAAUGGCUAUGUUGAAAAGGAUGGGCAGAAGUAUCUUUGGGUAGGGAAGAGAAGUGAAGUGAAACCCACCUAUCCAGGGAUGCUUGAUCAUCUAGUGGCCGGUGGACUGGUAAAUACUGACUUUUAUUUUGUGCUAGGUAGUUACCACUCAUGCAUUACAUAUGAACCUGAACAUGGAAAGUAUUUUGUCUGCUGGGGGCAUCUUUAUGCCGAACUUCCCAUUGUAUUUUAGUAACUCUUGUCCCACACUCAAAGUUUCUCUGCCUACAGGGGCUGUAUACCUCUAGAUAACAGUUUCUGCAUUGUAAGUAGAAAAGUAUACAGACGAGCCUAGAGAAUAUUCUUCUGUCCACUGUACUAAUGUGAUAUUUGACAUGGCAGAUACAUGCUAGGUACUUUCAUUCACUGGGCCUCCAAAUCAGUUUGUGCACUUUGUAUUUGAUGAAUUUGCCUACCUGUUUGACUAACCAGAAUUACCAUACCUUAAAAGAUAUCCCUGUGUAUUUGUUUAACCAGAAUAAUAAAACUUGAAAAGAUUAAGAAUGCUGUUAGUGCGUUUGUUGUUGCUUUUUCAGCUCCCAGAAUAAGCUGGAAAAGUUUUAGUCCAAUAUGAUUUAACCGUACACCAUUCUAAUUACAGCCACAUGGUAUUUCCUGUGAAAAGAACCUUGUGAAGGAAUGUGAAGAGGAAGCAGGCAUACCAAGUUCUAUUUCCGGCAGGUAAGUUUUUGACUUUCUGUUGAACUAGGCUAGACUAUCCAACUAUGAGGACAACCAUAUGCUUGAAGUGAAACUUAUAUAGCAAAAAUUUUCCAUACACUUGAAGUGAACCUUAAAUAACAAAAAACUUGUUUUCGCCAGGCAUCAUGUAUGUCCUAUCUCUAGGUUUCUUUUCUUUUCUUUUUUUUUCUUGUGUUUCUGUAAUUUUUUUCUCUCACUUUUAUGUCAUGUUGGCAUGAUUAGGGUUCUAGAUAAUGUGCCCUAUUCCCUCCCCCUCCCCCCCCUCUCCCCAAAAAAAACAAUAAAAGAUGAUGUACAAUAAACUUAAUAGAUUAGUUCAUUACUGGAAGGUGUUUGUUCUAAUGCAGAGCUGUCCCAGUGGGAGCUAUAUCCUAUAUGGACAUUGACGGACAUAGAUUCAAGAGAGAUGUUAUGUUUUGUUAUGAUUUAAAGCUUCCAGAAGGUUUUAUUCCCAGGAAUGAGGGUAGCGUGCUCAAAUACCUCAACUUUAAUUAACCAACAUAUAAUUAUUAUUACAUAAUUUGCAUGGCUGUAAAUUAUUUAUAAUGAAACAGAUGGAGAGGUGGAAAGCUUCAAGUUGGUUCCAGUAACACAUGUUGCUAACAUCAUUAGAAGCACAGAGUUCUUCAAAGCAAAUUGCAACCUGGUCAUCAUUGAUUUCCUUUUCCGACAUGGGUAUGAAAAUCCAUAUUUUCUAUAAGUUGCAUUUUUUGGGGGGGAGGAAGGGGGGGUUACAUAAGUAGUAUGCAGCUGUAUGUUCUGCAGUUUCAUGCCAUAUUAGGGUAGAAGUUUUAAGUUGAAUGCCACUUAAAAGCUCUUGAAAGUUGUGCUGCAAAUGGAGCUCUGUUUAACGAUGCAAAAUAAUAAAAAAUGAGGUGCCUAUUCUCACCAGGAACUCCCUUGCGUGCCAUCAAUUGGCGCAUAGGAUUUUUGCAUCCUUUAACAGCAGAAAGCUUCCAAUGCUAAAUAAGGUAGCCUGUGUUUAAACUGCUGCCAUUUCUCCCGCUGCCCAACAGCUGUAGUGAGUAAAGGAGCAAAAUAAAUAAACAUGAAGAUGUGUUAUAAACUAGCAAGAUGCACCUUACUUCAGACAUUCUAUCAGUUGGCAUUUCUCUUCCUCAAAGCAGUUAGCAUUUCUCUUCCUCAAAGUGAAUGAUAACUUGAUUCUGUUAAAUCUCGAGGUUAUAGUUCAUUUUAACUGGUAACUGGACUCUGGCAAAUUAACCAUCUCAAAGCACAGGGCACCAGGAAUUGAAAUCAAAGCAACUGAACCUGAUUGCUUUUCUGAUGUGCUGGGAUCUUGUUCAUGUCAUUUUAAAACUUCUUAUCUAAAUAUCUUGCAGGUACAUUACACCAGAAAAUAUUGGAUAUUUGAAGCUACUGCAGAGUUUGAGAAGUGGGGACUGCUCUUGAAUGCAAUGAAUUGUUAUUUUUGGGUUUUUUCUUCAGGACUUGUUCAUUCAAUUUUCCCACAUUCGGUGGCAAGUCAGGAUAGAGCGACCAAGCGUUGCAAGGAGGUGCCUAUUCUUACCAGGCUCUUUCUUAGAAAUUUCUUGUGACCUAACCGAAAUGAAACAAGAGAUGAGGAUGUUGUUACCAGUAAUCACUAUCUAAGCAUCAGCGUGAAACACCAGCAAUUUGGCAAGCGCAGUCAAAAAUUUGCACGUAGUGCCAAAGGACCUCUAUCCUUAGCCUCUCUCUGCAAAUGAAAAUAUCAGAAAGUAUUGCAUAUUCUGCAACAAAAAUGGUGUCGGAUAGUCAAGUAAACACGAGGAAUUUGAAAACCAUCGUGCCCCCUAUCUUCCUAGUUUGGAACUUUGGAAAUUAAGGAAUCUUGUUAUUACACCAUGAUGCGUACUAAUAAUCCUGGUGAUAACAGAAAGCAUCGGAAUGAAGAUACUAAUAGAUUUCAUGUCAUUAAACCAACCAUGAAAAGACGCGCAUAUUUUCCGUUCUGCUCACUGGUAGAGUCACGGAUUAUGAUAAAUCACAUGGAAGAUAUCAACUAGUGCAAUUUUUGUUCUCUAUAAAUUCUAGUGACAUCUCAGACGCUCAACUCUCCAAUCUCCUGGCUUAGGGGUUCAAAAAGCGCUUCCACCUCGGUAGUGUUGACUUCCUGCAAACUUGAAGGAUUCCACCUCGGAUUCUGCCAAAGAAGAACAUGGGUAAAUAAGCAAGCAAUAGCAUUCGAUCCACACAAUAAAAAUUAGUCACUCCAAAGUGUCGACACCUAUGUGAUCAUCAUAAAGAUUUACGUGCAAACAACAUAGAUUUCUUUUUGUUUGUUCAUCCAGAAAUUAAGCAACUUGUAGCAAGAAAACAAGUGCAGAAUUCAGAAAUAGUCUAGCAAUCAAAAAAAAGCAUCAUGCACUAAAUUAUGCUGGGACCAGGAAAAGCAUAAUGUCCAGAAAUCAAUUAGGAUACAAGCAGACCAUGAAUUGUUCAACAAUUCUUCCCCAGCAAUUCAAUCAGUGAAACAUGUAGAAUAAUAAUUUUGAUAAGAAUAUGCAAGAUACAUCUGCUUGACACUUUACCAGCACUCAUAGAGAAUAAACUAUAUCUACAAACCCUCCUCCCCCCCCAAAAAAAAAAAAAAAAAAAAAAACCCCACUCCGAAGUCCAAAUUACUGUAUUUGGGACCAUGCCUUUGUUGAGUUACAAACUACAACCUUUAUUAAGUUAAUUCCAUGUUAUAACACCUAUUUACCAAGAGAAGUGCUUGAGUUCCGAGGGGCAAACCUGAUCCUUAUCCACUAAGACUGCACGAACACCUUCAGCAAAAUCAUUUCGAAGAGAGGACCUUACAGCAAUCCUAUACUCGGUUUUCAUUACACUGGGCAGCUAGAAAAAAGAAAAAAUAGGAUCAAAUUCACGAGAUGUCAAUAGAGAUAACUGAGAACAACAAAAUAAUCUCCCGAAGAGACAAAAGAUUGAGGCAAGUAGAAAAAAAAGCAUAAGACAAACACAAAUCAUACCGUGGAUAAAUCAUUCUCAUUCUUUUGACGAGCAGUUGCAACUCUAGAGAAAUAUUUCUGCGUUAGACAAAGAGAAAAGGGGGCACCCUUCCUGAGUCCUUGCAGAGCAUCCUUGGCCCAUUCAGCCACUGGCAACGAAAUACAAGAUGAGAACCAAGGAUUAAAAAAAAAAAAAAAAAAAAAAGAGUUAACUAUUGCACAAUUUGGUGAACAUAUUUUUUUAAUCUUUCUGAUAAGUGAACCUCAAAGUCAGCAAAAAUUUCAAUUAUAAUUGAUUCAUAUUUCACAUUCUUGAGUAAACAAUCUGUAUCAUGUAUAUCUUUACCUAAAGUAUCAGCACUCUCUUGAUGCUUCUCCAGCUCUCCCAUAAUCUCCUGAACAGAAUUGCUACCACUGAAAGUUGAUAUUAUUCGUGGUAAAAGCAACUUUAGAUGGGGUUCUGAUUCAGGAUUGCUGCUGUAUUUUGCCAAUAAUACUCUGAUAUCUUCAUGUGGAUCCUCAGAGCUGUAUCAAACCAAAAACUUUCAGGUUCAAUAAAUGGAGCUCAGAGCAAUCUAUUUGUAAGCACUCAUACCCUAAAAUAUUACAGCAUAAUAUGUCAUUCCAAGAAGUGAAUAAAUCCGUAUGUGUCCACUUCUUGGAGACUGAUAUAAAGAAAUUUAACAUGCACAUACAAUGAAAAAGAGAAAGAUUUGGACAGUGGUUCUAACUGCCUCAUGAAACAUUAGUUACUUGAACCUACUUGCCCACAGCAAUUACAGAAUAAAGACCUCUGAAUGAACAAUUGGACCACGCAUCUAGUUCAUCCACACACAAUGAAAUGAACACAAAUCAUAGAAGAAAAGAAUAAGUUUUGAACACAAAAGAACAAAGUGCUGCUGAUACAUACAAGGAGGUUUCCAAUAAAGCCUCUCUCAGGGAACCCAACUUUCCAGAGUGCACAUAGUGGGUCCCAAGGCCCACAUAAAGGGCAUCAGCAGGAGUUGAUAUCCUACUCCCUGUCAGCCCAAGAUAAGCACCUGCAACAAAUUUAUUCAAAUGAAAAGAGCAGGAUAUGAUAUUAAUAUUUUGAAAUCGAUACAUGCAGCAGUGCUCUGAAAGAUAAAGCUGAUGAAUAACCAUAUUCUUGUGUAGCAUGGGUAUAAACUUCGCUUCAUUAUAAAUAUCUUAAACAGGAGAAUCAUAAAAAAAAGCUGCAAUGUAUCAGCUAUUUAACUGCAUGUAUUUCCAAAUUUUAUUAGUCAACCAUGGCAAAGACUCUAAAGAGGGAUUCAGCUGGGCUUCAAAAAUAAAUUAUAUUGUAUGCAAAAGACAGGUUGUAAGCCCUGUUUAAGUAAAAAAGCUGGGAGAGAAUUUGAAAAGCAUGCUCUUUGCACUAACCAUCUUCUUUCUUCUCCAAUGUGUCUUAAGUCACUCACAGAUCAAAAGCAUAGGAACAAAAACAAGUUUCAAAAAUAGUAGUAAGUCAUACCAACAGCUCCUUCUCCAGGACUUUGUGCAGCUAUGUAAGAAAAGCCAACAUCUGGAAACAACCCAAUUCCAUUUUCUGGCAUAGAAAGAACAGUCCUCUGCAACAAUAAUUGGAACAGAAUGUAAAUAUCACAGUAGCACCAAAACUAACUUGUAAAACGAAACUCUCUACCAAAGGGAAGACAAACCUCAGUGAUGAGCCUAUAUCGACCAUGACCAGAUAGGCCUAUGCCAAACCCCAUUGUUAUCCCAUCCAUGAAGCACAUGUAAGGCUUUUUGUAGGCAAAGAUUUUGCAAAUUAGAGAAUAUUCAGCAGUGAAUACCUGUUGAGGGGUCCAGCAGAAUAGCGACUAUAAGUUUAUGAAUAACCAGGCAAUUAUAAGAAACAAUUUCGAACAACCAUAUGUAAACAUAGGCACUUUAGUUUCCUUCACUUAAAAGCCAUGAUUCAUAGAGCAUCAGGUGUAUAUCACCAGACAGAGAGGUAUUUAUGAAUUUUACUAAAUUGAUAUUCUUGAUGCAAACAUAGGCAAUUAAGAGAAACAAUUUCUAACAACCAUAUGUAAACAUAGGCACGUUAGUUUCCUUCACUUAAAAGCCAUGAUUCAUAGAGCAUCAGGUGUAUAUCACCAGACAGAGAGGUAUUUAUGAAUUUUAUUAAAUUGAUAUUCUUGAUGCAAAAUAGACAAACGAUUUGAAAUACUUGAGCCUAAACCUUUGUCAUCAAUGUGUAUGAUAAGUUUCAGAAAAAUGUUGAUGAUUUAUGACUACAACUUAGACUGCAAUUUAUUUAUUUAUUUUUUUUAAAAGAUUCCUCUUACUAUAUCUCCACGCCUAUGACCUUUGAUCUAUUUUUUUGUGGAAUAUUUCCACAUAGCAAAUAAAAUGACAACUUAAUUUGACUAAGCAAAUGUUGAGCUGAAUAGGCUUGUAUAUGGUUGGAGGACACUACAAAACCUCAAUCAUAUCUGACAGUUGGUUUUUGGUUGAAAUCUGCUUGACAUCACCACCUGCAGGUAAAAUGAUUCACUAAGAGAUAUUGCAACUGAAUUGCUUCCGAAAGAGCAAUACUAUAAACCAUAUGGCCGUGAAAGACGCAAAGAACAAUGAGCAUCAAAAGUGGUAAAUCUCUCUAAUGCUGAUCUAACCAGUUGGAAGCACACAGAAAAACACAUGAAACAGGAAGCCCAAAUUUCAUAAUUUCUUAGUAAGGAAAACCUUUUGCACAGGAGGUGUGGUUUUGUCCUUUCGGAUUUCUGCAACAACCCCUUUAAUAUCCAUUCCUGCAUUGGCAACGAGUAGUUACCGUCCAAAUCUCACACGGCACCCCAAAGAAUAAAACAGAAUACGAGCCCAUACAUAAAAAUUUAUACAUAAAGUUGAGUGAGAGUGCAAAAUAUAUCGAGGUUCCAUUCACAGGUCUCAUUCUUAAAGUCAUGUAAAUAAACAAAGUAAUUGCCAUGAAACUGCUAAGGUGUGGAUACAGAUUUAUAGUUCGAUUGAUUGGAUUAUUACCUGCUGAAAAAGCACGAGGAGAGCUGCUCUCCACCAAUACACAUUUAACCUUUGGGUCGUCUUCCCAUUCAUCCAAAUAGCUUUUAUACUUGAUAUCCAUAUCUGCAUCAUUUACAUCAUUCAUUCAAUCUCAAAACAUCAUAAAUGACUCAAUUUUUGUUGUUUAGAUUAUCUGCACAGAACAGGAAAAAAGGGAAAAGAAUACUGCUAAUAAAUAUACACUCAAAGUAGCAGUAGUACUAGUUAAUAGUAGCAGCAGCUUUCAAGUAGAGAAAUGACCUAGGUUCAUGGCGUUGAGGGCUUUAGAACGAUCGAGAGUGAUGACGGCGACGCCGUUUGGAUGGAUAGUGCCUUUAACAAAGUUGUCGCUGCCGGAAGCCAUGACUGAUAAUGUGCGAAACGGGGUCGUUCGAUUGGAGGAAGUUGUACAGAAAAUUAAAUUGCAGAGACUAAUAUUAGUAUUGGCAGUACAAUUUCCGGGGGAGUGGGAGCCGCGACAGGUGAAGAGUGUGGGGGAUAGGAAAAUUGAGGAGGAUCGGUUUAGCUUCAGCAGCUGAGAAGCGUUUAGCAGCAGACUUCGCAUGACUUUCCUUUUUUUUUUUUUUUUUGGUUUAUAAGAAAAUUGCCUGGACUCCUCGAACUGUACUCAAUUUUGCUUCCCCACCCACCUCGUGAAUUGUGAUGGGCGACAAUUUGGUGUACAUUUACCUAUCUGCCCUUCAUUUUUUUUUUUUUGACUUUUGUGGAUUUUGGAUGUGCGGGCUUGGGCCCAAGUGCGGAUUCAAUUCGAGUAGCCUGGGUAGGGAGUGUAAGACUUGAUGACGAAAACAAGGGCUUUAAUUAGUAAAGCCCCAAGGGCCUUUCGUAACUGAGUAGUAUUUCUCCUUGUCUCUGGAACCCAUGGGUAACUGGAUAACCUCAAAGAACCAAAUGGUCAUAGAGGGGCUCCAUUAUCAUUGCAUCAGCUUGGAUUGGACCAUGCUGCGUUAACACAUUUACGGUUGGCAGCCCGAUUUUGUAGGUGUACGGAAGAAAGUGUAUAUGAAGUUUAAACUGUGAAAAUAACAAAGAUAUAUUUUUUUUCAAGACUAGUUCAUGCAUUAGCUAGAUGAUGGUAAAGUUUCUAGUUCAAUUCUCAAAUGCUUCUCUCUCUCUCUCUCUCUGACCAAUGAGGGAAAAAAAUGUGUCUUUGAUUAGCCAAUGGUGAAGUUUGUGACAACCAUGAAACUUCUAAUUCGAUUAUCAACUUCUUUUCAUUCUCUCUCGCACCAAUAAAAGAUACAGUAGAUCGCUCGACUCACGACUGUAGUAGGACUAUUCUAGACUCUAAUCGUACCCUUGCCAACAGCCUAUAUCUUUGAUUAACCCUCCAUAUCCAACUACUCUCAGAUUCCCACUCGCAGCUCCAUCUACAUUCAGUUUGAACCAGCUCUCAAGUGGUUUAUGUCAACUUACUAGAUUUUUUUCUUUGACAAUCAUGAAACUUCUAAUUCGAUUUUCAAUUCCUUUUUAUUCUCUCUCGAACCAAUAAAACAUAUAGUAGAUCGCUUAACUCACCAUUGUAGUAGGAUUACUCUAGACCCUAAUAGUACAAAAUUGUAACGAGUAAUCAAGAUCAUCUGACAAGUUAAAAAAACGCACUUUAAUUCGGGCGGAGGAUUUCAAAGUAGCAACCAUAAUACCCUAGUCACAAGCAAAGCUAUCAGCAGACGCCAAUAUCUAAUUUUGUCCUAAGGUACAGCGCAUGAUCCACCAGCUACCAGAAUGGUGAUAUUACUGCAACCACAAGUCCACAACCACAAAAUAUUUUUUUUCAAAGAAAAAAACAGGGAAAAUCUGCGGUACAGUAAAAGGAUUACAGACUUGAGAUGAUGUCUUUAUUGACCGGAUUCCCAUUUUCGUUUUUGAACAGAUUGUGGACAAAGUUUUCCACCAUCACUUGAGACGUGUUUAAAAUUCUUGGGAAGAUAAGAUCGCGUAAGAUUUAGGAAAAAGAAUCGAUAGGACUUUGCAGGAGACAUGGCUGAAUAAUCACGCAUUGCCUUUUGGCUUGUAGCUUCCCUUUGCUCUCUUUUUUUUUUUUUUUUUUUAAUAAUAAUUAUUAUAAAUAGUACGUACCUACCACUACCAGUAAAGAAGCACCAGCGCGGCAUGAGAGAUGUAAUUUUUUUAGGAAUUGGGACCACCAGGCUUUUAGUUAAAAAUAUAUUGACUAUAAGCACCAAAACAGUAGCGAAAAGUAGUGUUUCCAGCUUAUCUUAAUCAUGCAAUUAUCCAUCCAAAUGAACAAUCAAAUACACAAAGCAAAUUUUUGAAGGAUAUCAAAUGCUAUGCUAUAUACACUAUGUUCUGUUAAUGUAUUGAUCAACGGUCGCCAUGACUCCGACGAGGAGAGGAAAAAAAAAUGGAGUGAGCUACGUACUUUUAAUUGUGAGGGUUAGAACAAGCAUGGUAAUGUUCAUGUGGUUGGGAACUUGAAGUCGCCGUCAUUUAAAACUUUCAUCCUUAGAAAACUGAGGUUGUUAAAAUACAGAAACAAUUGGAUAAUUCAUCGGAAGUAAGAAAAUAAUACUACAUAUAUUGAGUUGGCCAAGUGAGGAGUUCUUGACCAUCAACACAUGCUAAACUAAUUAAGAGAAGCUGACCAUAAUUAUGUCCUUAGCUAUCACAUUUUCGGAAGCUUGGGGGACACUUGUGCAAAGAAAAUCACUUAAUUUUAUAGCAACUCACAAGUAACAACGGAGCUAUUGGGUAAAUACCCAAUAUUGUCUCAACAAUUGGAGCAUUCUUGGCACGGUGGUUCAUUCUCUUUUUUCGAAUGUGCUUAGCAGCAAAGUCGCAGAAGAGUCGAUCAAUAACCGUAAUUGGAAUCUUAGCUAGUUAUUUUCUGAUGAAAAGAAAAAUAUAUAUAUAAGGAAAUGCUACGACUAGUGAGAAGUAGUUGUUAUGUUAAUCCAAAGUCAACACAUGCUGCUUAAUCAUUUCUCCUCCUGUUAAUUUAAAUUAGACACGACUUUAGAAUAGAAACUGGAGUCUCCUCCCCCCCCAAACAAAAAAACACCAUUUUUUGGCAUAAGUGACGGGUUUUGGAUUCAAAAUCUCUUACUUAUAAUACUUUUAUCUUACCACCUAAUCUAAGCCUCUCCUUUGUUCCCAUUAUUUUGCAAGAAUUUCAGCGCCUUUAAGCCAAUGGGAUGAAAAUUAAUCAUGCUCUAACAAACACACAGGAGAGCUUGUUGGGCUUUUUCUAAAGCUCUCGGUAGGUAAACUGAGGCGCGACAGCAAAUAAUUCUAAUUCUAUAUAAGCAAAACUGAGAGUAACGAAUAGGGGAGUGGGCCAAUUUUCGUCCAAUUUAUUGGACACCGAUUCUCUAACGAGACUUGAAAAGGAUGAGCUUGAAGUCAUGCCAAAACCCAAUUUGGAAUUUUUGUACAAGAAAACUCUCACACACGCUUUGCAAGAAAAAAAUAGAGAAGAAAAGAACAGACAAAUUCUUCUUGUAAAUUAUGCUCCUAGUACUGUAAUGAAAAGUCUUUAUUAGAGUCGUUAUUUGGAUUUUGAAACAUCUGGAUGGACCGUGUAUAGUCUAAGUUCACCUACUCCUGAUGAAAUGAUUUGCCCUUUAGCAUGACUUAAUUAGUAGAUUAUGAUCUCAAAAUGACCCCACAUAUUAGUUGUAUGCACAUGACUCCAUGUAAUGUUAAUUAGAAACAAAAGAAAAGAAAGUUUAAAAAAAAAAAAAGAAGAAGAAGAUUUUGCCUUUUUGAAGCAUAUAGAAGAGAAAAGUGCUCGCAGCAUUAUUGUUUCAUUAGUUGAUUCCCAAUUAAUGAAAUUUGGAAUGUGUAGAAAAAGGACAAAUUUCAACUUUUGUUUCCUGACAUGUUAUCCAUCUGAGUGACGACGACGAGAAAUAAGUGGGCUAAUACGUAGAAGUAUCUUGACAAUAAUAUCACCAUGAUUUGGAGUGCAGAUGUGUCUGGAUAAGAAUUAUUUGUCAAAAAUUUAUUUGUUUGAAUCACCAUAAACAUAUGUUUUAACACACUGUUUUAUCUAAUCAAUUAUUUUUUUAUCUCACACACAGUACAUCGCAUACAUCAUCAUAUAUUAUUUUAUAUUAGUUUAUAAUAAUUAAGAUUUACCCAUUCUAAAGAAAUUAUUGUAAAGCGAAAGAUAACGAAAAUUUUGACUUUUAGGAUCGAAAUCAACGACCAUGGCCACAAACAAAGAACAGCUUUUCAGCUGUAGGCAUCCAUCGAUAACGUAGUAUAAUUUUCAUAACGCCAUUUAAAAUAUCGAGCAAUAAUUUACAACACCAAGUAACGAGAAGCGUCAAAUCCACAGUUUUUGAACACUCGACAAACCCACUCAAGCUACAGUAACCACGCGUGCAAACUGGUAAAUCGGUGCAGACUUCCUAGUACAGGAGGGAUCCCAUGUAAACAACCCCCAAGUACAAUGUCACAUGUCGAAGAAAGCAUUUAUUAUCCUAGCAAUUUUCUAUCUCUAUCCACCCCAACCGAAAAAAAAGGUACACAAAGACCAGAUUAAAAAAAGUUCAUGAAGUAUUAUGUAUGACGGACGGCUUAGUGACCGAUCAAGACCUUAUCAAGAACAUCAAGGAAGAGCUUAUGUGCAGUGAGCUGAGGAACAUGGCCGUCGGUGGUAGCGAUAAUCUCGAUGGUUGAUGGUCCUUUGAUUUUGUUCUGCAUGAAGAUUGGGACAGAAUCUGGGACGGCGAGAUCCCUUGCCGUGUGAAUAAUGGUACAUGGGGCCGUAACCUUUUCAAGAAUGGCCCUGUGGUCACUGAGGAAAACAGUUUUGGCCAAGGGAAGUGCGGUUUUAUAUCCCAUUCGUUUCAAGGUUCCUGCGAAUUUUUCGACCGAGGGAGGAUCGUUGUUGUCUACCACAACUGAUGCGAAGCUGGUUGCCCACUGGUCGUAGUUGGACUCGAUGCUAGCAAAGAUCUGUUCAACGUGGGAGAUCUCGAAUCCUCCUUCGUAGUCUUCUGAGUUUAUGAACCUUAAACGGAAGGGGGGAAAAAAACAAGGUAGAGUGUCAUACGUACGUGAAAGAAUUUUGUGUACAAAUAAAUAUUAUAGAAUUUGUGUAGGUGAUACAAGUGGCUAGACCUUAUCCUUAUUAUGCUUCAUUGAUUGAGGAAGAGGGUAAGGAGGAUAUGGUGAGGACAAAAUUCUAAAAAUAAAGUGAAGUAAAGUAUGCAUGAUUCCAGGAUCCGACAUGAUUUGUGAUGCUAUUUCGGUAAUAGGUGCUCGCUAUAGUACAAAAAGAGGUGUAUGUCCCUUCACAUGCUUACCCCUAUUAUGAGCUUCAGUUUUUUUCUGUUUUAAAUAAAACAAAAAAUAAAAAAAAAAACAAAGGCGACAACAAAUGGGAUACAAAAUUUAAUAAGGUAUAUACACGAGAAAAGCGGAAAAAGCAAAAAGCAAAAGGGAAUGAUAAUUUGAAGGUGACUGAAUCAGACGGAUAAAUUAUGCAUUCAUUGGUGGUGCUGCCCAAUAAACCUUAAUGCAUGCAUUGGUGGUAGCUACACCCCAAAGCUGGUGAUUGCAAAAGGGAACGGAGGGAGAAUUUUCAAGGUUCACUGACACGGUGUCAACUCAAGCGGAUGUUUAAUCCAGAUAAAUCCAUGACAUCACAAUCUACGAUUUUAGUCUACGGAGAGGAAAUUAUAUAGCUAAUUCGUCAGCAGGAAAUUCAUCACAAUCUAUAGUAAUCCUGUUUGGAUUACAAAUUCAUCAACAGAAAAAUACGGUCCAAACCCUGUUUGGAUUUUGUAUUUUUUAGGGGAAAAAAUUUUCACAUGUGUUUUGUGAAUAUUUUUUUAAUAUAUUUUUCAAUUAUAUUUUUACCUAUAUACAUCACAUCAUAAAAAUGUUACAGUAAUCUUUUCUUAAAAAAAAUUCUUUAGAAAGUGCAAUCCAAACAAAAUCCUAAAAGUUUUUGCAAUCAAUUUGUUGAUCUCCUUUGAAAAAAAAGGGGAAAAAAACUUUUUCCUUUGUCAAAAAAUCUUAUAAAAACCAGCUUUUUUUUUUUUUAGCCACCAUAAAAAAAAUUUUCUAAAAAGGCCGAAAGUUGUCCUGUUUUGCAGCUUUCCAAGUGCCUGAUCACAAUCUCAAAUUGUGACCACUGACGCCCCCUCUACAACCGGCCAAUCUCUUCCAUAGCAAAGACAAAAAAGAAGUACAGGACGCACGCACAACCACAUCAAAGUUUAUGGGAAGCACCCGAAUAUUCAGGAAACUAGAUUAAAAUUCUGCAGGAAGGGGGCAGAUCAAUAAAAGCAUAUGGAGAAUAAGUACCAGCGCAAAAAUAAAUAAAUAAAUAAAUAGAAAAAGCUUCCUCGUGCACUAGAUUUUAUGAAAUUUGUGACUAUAUUAUCAGACUUUUGAAAAGGUUCAACUUCAACUGAUCGAACAUGAUCCAUUUAUGAUUGAAAUAAAAGCUACUUUUUAACCCAAAAAAAAAUUUCUAGCAGGGGGACUGGGGAUGCAUCGGAAGAGGAGACUACGACGCAGAAGUAGGAAAUGGAAAGAGAAAAGAAACGAUAAAAAAAACUUCAACUAUUCUUGAAAAGACAAUAAACAAAACCCUCAAGUUCAACCACUGUCUUGCUAUCCCUGUAAUAUCUAUGUAAUAACAGUAGUAGUUUGUAUUUACUGAAACUUGGAAGUACCUUGGAGAAGAUGCAACAAGUACCAGCCUGCUGAAUAAGUCGGGCCUCUUGACUGAAGCAAUGCAUCCAAUCAUGCCAGACAUGGAGUGUCCAACAAAGACUGAAGAUUUUAAGUUCAUUUCUUCCACGAGAGCUAUUAUAUCAUCGGCAAAAGCAUCAUAUGAAGAAUACUUAACUGCGUCAAAGAGGUUUAGAUCUUUGACGGCACCUGAGAAACUCCAGUCAAAAACCAAAACUUGGUGAAACUGAGCCAGCGAGGGCACCACUUUGUCCCAGACCGAAUGGUCUCCCCCGUAGCCAUGCGCAAGAAUUAUGGUUUCUUUUCCAGAACCAAUUAGUCUUGCGUUCAUGGCUGUGGACAUAGAUUUUGGCGUGACCAUGCUGCCUUUUCUGAGCUUUUUGCAGGAGGAAAGGUAGUAGAAUUGGUUGGGCAAGAAGGAGAGAAGCUGAUGGAACGGUGUCUUGAAUGCUUUUUUUUUUUACUAAUGUUAAUGUAUAUGUUUUUCUAGUCCUUUGUCUGUCUUAUAUAGGCAACAGGAGGAGUCUUGGACAAAUAAAUCAAAAGCAUUUAGCCCUAAUAAUUUAAAAAAAGUUCCGUAAAUUAACAUUGUUGGGGUAAUUGAUGAUUUUGUACUUAUCCUUAACUAUUCUGGAGGAAGACAAACAAUACUUUUUGAGAAGGUGAUAAAAUAACAUAUUAUCGCAAGCCUAACAUCAUCAUUGCUCAUGCUUAAAUGUCGGGUGCAGGGCUAUGAGUUCCCCAAUUUGCUAAAAUUAGAGAGCCAAGUCCGUUUCACUCUAGAAGGUUUUUUUUUUUUUUUUUAAAUAUAAGUAAGACAGUUCAAACUCAAAAUCUUUCACUUACGUUCUCUCUUUCGGACCAUCCAAAUCAUCCCUCCCCCUUCACUCCAAAAGGUUUGCGAAAUUACUAAACUACAAUAUUUUUAGGAUAGUUAUUGGGCACUCUUCAAGUAUUGGAUUUUUUUAAAGGUAACAUUAAUUAGAGAAAAUAUCUAAAUGCAUGAAAAUAUAAUAAUUACUGGUAUGUAUAUAUACAAGAUAUGUUUGAUAGGCUAGAUAGAGUUUAAAUGGGUUAACGAGGGCCUUUGUUAGAAAAAUCAUAUUUUAUAAAGUCACAUCACCUUCUUUUUUUUCCCCUUUUCUUAAGAAUAAAUUCACAUAAGAUUCUAAGAAUCUUAAUGCUGUAUCACUGGAUAUAUAAUGGUCUAGUUAGCAUUAAUUGAUUGACGUUUUUUGUUAAGCACUUUGUGAAGAAACAGGCCAUACAAGAUCAACUAUUAGUGUGACAUCUGCAUUAUAUUAAUAUUGUUGUUCAUUGCUUAUCUUUCUUGAGUUAAACUAACAAUUUUUUUUUUUACUUGGGUGUAGGUCAAGUAAUCAAAUCAUUUGACUUGUAUUCAAAAAUCCAAAUUUUUUUGAAAAUUUUGCCAGCAAGUGCGGCACUCUUUUGAGUUGGUGGUGGUUCAAUCUCCUCCCAGUCCCUUUGGUCUCUUUAGAUCCCCCUCCCUCUAGUGUAAAGUAGGAGUAAAUGUAGAAUAUAUUUUAUUAUAUCCAGAAAAAAAAAAAGAAGGAAAAGUUCUAGGACAGUUAUUGUAUAAUGGGUCAUUGACCCUCCUUAGAGUAAAAAAGAAAACGGAAAAGAAACCUUCCACAAAACUGAUACGAUACGUUCCUAAUGAAAUUUCGUCAAGAAUCAACCACAAUAAUAUAAAUUGAGACUAAAAAAAAAAAAGUUUAAUGGUCGGGCAACAAAUCAAUAAAUUUGUUGAAUUUAAAAAAAAAUGUUUUUCUCAUAAUUGUGUCAAACUCAUGAUUGUAAAUCAAGCGAACGAUUUCACUUUAUCUGGUUUUGGCUCAUGUAGAUGCGAAGGAGACAAUUGCGCCACAAUGCCCGCGUUGGAUAAAUUGGGUUUGACUGAUUAAUACUUGAAAAUUGUAGGAACAUGGGAUUUUUGGGCGGUUGGGAUCAUUAAAUGUUUUUGGCCCCUCGGAUAUAUAGUUGAAAUUUUUUUUUUUUUUGGAGGGUGAUAUAUAGUUGAAACUUGAAAACCUUCCGAAAGAAAGUAAUGGCAUGCUAAGGAGAACCGCGUCCUUCAUAAGGCUGUCCCUAUCCUAACCCCCCAAAAAUUUUGAGAUUCAUCUUCUUUUCCCCAAAGGUUUUCCGGACUUUCAUAUAAACCAGGUCUCUGGUUUUAUGGCUACCGAAUACCAAUCUGCAAUGUUUUGACCAAAAAAAAAAAAAAAAAAACCAAUCUGCAAUGAUUAAAGUGGAUCAGACCAAGAUCGGCGCUUAGAUCUUAAGGUUCUGUUUGAUAAUCUAAUUCAACAUUUAAAUUUAAUAAAUUCAGAUCUUAAUAUAUUCAAAUUAUUUGAUAAUAAAAAAUUGAACAUAUGAAUUAAUUAAGUGGUAUUGAAUUUUUUAGGCAAAACUUGCGCUCAAAAUUAAGUGAUAAGCUAUUCACUUAUCAUUGAAUGUUAUAUGCACUCAAAUGUAUUAAAUUUAAUAAUUGACAAUUUAAUAAGUUAAUUGAUUCAUACUUUAUAUAUUAGAUUUCAGAUUUCAAUUUUAUCAAAUGCACCCUAAGUCUUUUAUUCCUGAAUGCAAUCCACUUCUCUGAUCCAAUUUUUGUUCGCGUCAGUUCUGCCACAGAUCCACUUGUACAUUUAGUACAAGUUUAUUCUUUGUACAAUUGUACCCCAAAGCCUUAGGUCUUACUUCAUCAAAUAAUCUCAUUUCAUUUAACAAACUAUUCCAAUAAUAAUAUUUUCGCCCAACCAAUAUUUCACUAUAACAAUACUAUUAGUUUGUCCCAACAUCAACAUCUAAAAACACUAAAAGUAUGCGAAAUUGGCAAUGAUACGGAGAGAGGAUACAGUGUUUUAUGAAUAAUAAAAAAAAAUUAUCCAAGCAAACCCGCUCAUUUCGCGCAUUGUUUAAAACUAAUUAAGUUGCAAUAUCAGAUAAUAGCUUCUCCUGAAUUAGAGAUUUGGUAUAAUUCACUUUAAAAUUCCUUAAUAUUGAAAAGGGUAUCUUUUAGCAUUUUCGAGUAGCACAUCCAAAAGUGUAAAAUCAGCACUAUAUAUUCUCUAGCGGUGAAUAAUUAUUGAUUUUUAAUACUGCCAAGUUCAAUACUCUUGUAGGCCUCAAUAAGAAGGUAAAAAGAAUAUGCCGUGUCCAAAUAUGAUUUGAAUUGGACAACUUUGAUUGUGGUCCAUAAGAAUGGGAUACUCAUAAAGAUGAUCGAAGAUGAGAAACUGAAAAAGGACGUAGUAGUAAAUAUAAGAGGCGGGAAUUGGUCAAGGAUGGAUUUAGCUAAUUGGGAAGAAGGCCAAAACCCAACAGAAGAAAGGACAGCCACCACCACAUGCUAUAUUUUUUUUUUCAACAGAAGAAAGGACAGCCACCACCACAUGCUAUAUUUUUUUUUUCGAAAAAAAAGGCCUCUCUCUCAGCAGUCAGCAAUCAGCAUGGUGAGGUGUCUACAGCGCUACUGUCCCUGUUGUUCCAUCAUCCGAUGACUUUAUCGCAUAUAGUAAUUGUAAAUUUUUUAAGUAAAACUGCAAAAGGUACUUUUUGUCGUCUUCUGCUUGACUGUGUGUACUGUGUGUCUGCGGGUCUGCCAAGUCGUUGAUAAUUCCAACGCCCAACUUUUUUCAUUUACUAUUCCUGCACCGCUGCCCCCACCCCUCGGUCCCACCAUGUUGUCAUUGCUUCAUCAGAGAUAAGUCGCUUUCAACGGAGAGAGAUAGAAGCUACCCAGUAUGAUUAACACCCCACCAACUAAUUACUAUUAUUAUUUUAAUCGAAAUAAAAAAAUAAUUAAAAAAUAUAUUGAUAAUAUAAAUAAAUAAAAUUGUGCAAAUAAUAACUCAUUAUACAAACAAACUCAACUAGUAGUUAAUAAGUCUGGAUGGAGUAUUAUCUGAAAUAUUAUUUGGAAUAAUUAUUGUAGCACUUUUUGUGAUUUGAUGUAUGUGAGAUAAAAAGUAGUUGAGAAUAUAUAAAAGUGGAUUGAAAAAUAUAUUUAUGAUGCAAGCGAAAUAUUAUUUGAGAUAAAUUUGCAAUCCAAACACACUCAGUAUUUUUCUUAACUCCCCUCCCCCCAACCAUUUUUCUUUUCGGCGCGUGCGAUGUUACUAGAAAUAGUAUGAUACUAAAAAGGAUAUUUUUCUUUGGUACCUUGUAUCAUAAUUAAAAAUUCGAGAUAACCUUGCAAUUGCCCUUCAGAAAAUAAAGAAAGAAAAUGUACACCCUUUCCUUUUAGAAAAUCAACUAUCAGCCUACCUAAGUUUAUAUACGGGGAAGAAAAAAAAACUAACUAAUUUUAACAUAAUAACUAAAUACAUGUAAAACAAACAAAAGCAACAAUACGAAUUGCCUUGCAUAAUUGUAUAGAUACACACUUUGCAGAAGGACACAGCGUUUAGAUGCAUUCCUAAAGACAGACAGACAAAUAUAUAGUCCUCAUGCUUUGAGAAAUCUAGUAGAUGCAGAUCUUUAAAGGAAUUUGCUUCCCUCAUUUUGUACUUAUAACUUAAGUUUGUUCAAUAUAAAGUCCCUUUUAUUACAAAAAAAAAAAAAGAUGAACAGACAAAUAAGAACACACCGCAUAACGCAUAUAGUAACAAAGAGAUCCAUAUCGCCAUAUGGUUCUUUUUUUUUUUUUUUAAUAUCGAUAUCGCCAUAUGGUUCUUUAAAAAAAAAAAAAAAAAAAAAAGAACCAAGUAUAUGAUCUAGUGUAUGCUUUUACACAUAUGAUCAUAUGACUUCACUGUAGCCGGCAAGCUUAAUUCUUUACGCCCACACCUAGGCUAUGUCCAAAGUUCCGUGCAAGCCAAUUCAGCAAUUCUCACUCCAUUUGUUUCGAAAAAGCAAAAAGCUAUUUAUAUGAUACAAAUAAGGGAUAAUUUCAUAAACCUCCCCUGAGGUUUUAUGAAAUAUCACCUAGCUCCCUUGAAAUUUUCAAAAUCUCACUUAGCACCCCUUGAAUUGACAUUUUGGUAACAUUGGAAGUCCUUCUAACCAAAAGUAAUAUUAAAAAAUUCAUGUUUGAGGAGAGAGAUUAUUUUAGUGCCUUUAAUACCCUUAAGCUAUAAAAAAAUGAACAUUUUACUAACUAAGAAAAAAAAAGUACUAAAUUGGAACCAUCUUAAAAGUGAGGAGAUGAAAAUUGGUAAGGUUUUAUAUUACAACCAGUAGUCACUUCUACAGUAGGAAGAUAUUGUAAAAGUAAAUGCUAUUUUUUAAACCAUUUCUACAAAUAGAACCCUUCACAGCGUUGAAGGUAAUUAGCAUGUAAAAUCAUACAUUUGAGCAAAAAAAACUUAGUAAUAGAUGAAAUUCAACUUCAAUAUUAUAUAAAAAAUUUACUCAAAAUAUACAGACUUUUUUUAUGGGUGUGAAAUAUGAAAUUUUAUUAUAGAAAAAGUCAGAAUUUGAAAAACUGUCAGAGUUUCAAUUACUUUAUUUCUCUUGCGCUAUGCAUGAAUAGAAAUAAAUAAAUAAAUAAAUAAAGUUGUGAAACACCAAAAAAGGAAAAAAAAUAAAAAGAACCUGCAGCUAUUCUUCUCCAAAUGCAUUGAAUAUUUCAUUAAUUAAAUCCUAUAUCUCAUUGGCAUUUGCAAUUCAAUUAUACAUAUAUAUAUGUAUGUAUGUAUGUAUGUUUGUAUAGACAUUGUUAAAGAAAAGUAGAAAAUUUAGAGAAAGAAAAACAAGUUUAGAAAAUUUAAAUAUGAGGGUAUUAUUGAUAAUUCAUUACCUUUGAUAUUAGUAUAUGGUCCUACUAUCACUUCAAGGGUGCUAAGUGAGAUUUUAAAAUGUUUAGGGGAGCUAGGUGAUAUUUCAUGAAACCUCAAGGGAGGUUUCUGAAAUCAUCCCUACAAAUAAAGUAUUCGUAUAAACACGCCGUUGCCUGCCCAAUAGCUCCUGAUCGUGGUCCAGUGCUGGAUGAGAAGGAUAUGCAAUAAAUUGAAGUUGGAACUUUUUGAUUUCAAUAACCUUGUGCUGAAAAGAAUAGCAUAUAUUGGUGAUCCAUGGUCAAGUGGUGCAACUCCAAAGUUUAAUUAAUAAGAUAAGUUUGUCAGAAAAGCUGACGAAUUAAUUGUUUAUAUCCAAUAAGGAUGAAGAAAAGUCGCUUAAAACAGAUUCGUCCCAGGCUCAAAGACAUCUCAGAAGGAGGACAAGAAUGAAAAGUUCACUUCACAACAUAAUAAUACUCUUGCUGCUUGUGAAUUACACGUGUAACAAGAAUCUCAUACUCAUUCAUGGAGCCGAAAGGUUUCUUUAGGGGGUGUCCGGAUCAAUUCUUACGGGGCCCGACUAAACCUCCUGCGCUCUGGGAGAGGAGGCCCCACUCCACAUCGAAGACAUAAGCCACGGAACUCGAACCCUGAUUGCCAAGUAAGUGGCUAUACCCUAAAGAAGGGGAGCGCACCGUCCGAGCUACCCCGUGGGGGCUGAGUCGAAAGGUUUUCAAGAAGAAGGUUUUUAUUGUUUUUAUCUUCGAUCUUCAAAAACAAAAGGGUCGGAAAUUUCCAAAUGGCCAAGUCACAUGUAUCAGGUUCAAUUUACAAAGAAUUUCCAGGUUAAAUUUGUUGAAGAAAAAGCUAGACAAAUCCAAAAAGAUAAAAAGGACCAAGAAAGAGUUGUCAAGCUAAUCCAUCAUAUGUGGCUUUUUUCGUGAGGAGACUGAGAGGGUCACGAUCUGCAGAGACUCUAACCGUGAUGAUAAAGAAAUGCAAUUAAUUGGAAAAACCAUUUUUCUUAUUGUGUAAAUCGAAUAGUGAAGUGGGAAAAUGAUACUCUAACAAACCCUUAUAGGCUACCGAAUUUUCAUGGCUAAUUACAUACUUUUACCGCGAGGUGCUAUUAACCAACCAUCAUGAGCAAAUUAGAGAACGAAAGCAAAAGGUUGAAGGCCUAGCAAAUUAUCUUAACUUAUUUGUUCCCUCAAAAAAAAAAAUCUUAUUUAUCCAUCUGGUUGGUGGUCAUGAUGCCCGUGCUUGAAGGCCUAGCACGAUUGGACCCGAUGUCCAGUCAUCAAUGACUGAUGAAUGAAACUUUUGUCGACAGAUCAGCAACCCACGACCGAGUUGAUUCGUCGUGAUUUUGCGGCUCGAUAUGUUACUGUCUAUGGUCUUUAAUUUGACUGUAACUCUUUGCCAGUCAAAACCAAGAACAUUAACACACUGUAGACAGUAAUAUCACUUCUACCUAUACCUGCUCUAUGAAAUAGGAGCAGCAAAUAAUUGAUGAAACAGAUAAAUUACGCAAGUUAUAGUCAUAUAAGUUAUAAUGACGUGUAGUGUCAUUAUAAAAGAAAAAAGAAAAAAGUGACGAUGAGUAAUGUACAAUGGUAUAAGAAAAUCUAUAUAAUUAUUUGGAUUCACAUAUAGCAAAGCUCUACAAAUAAACCCAUAAACGAAGUCUACACAAAUAUUUGCCUUCACCCGGCAAUAAAGGCUGCUUUAGCCUUUAAAGCUAUAUGACUUCAAAUGCAUUGCAUAUUUCCUUAAUGCAUUUCCCCUGCUGAUCGAGGCAGACAAAUUAAGAGCAUUAAUAAUAGGUAAAGAUCUUGUUGGUAGAAAGGCCACCCUUCGCCGGGGCCGCAAAAGGAUUCUUCACAAUUUCAAAGAUGAAACACUGAUUGUCCAUAACCACAGAUUUAAAAUGUCAAAAAGGUUGGAAAUCAUUGUCCAUGAAUUGUACAAUACAGCGUCUCUAUCUGCUACAUAUACGCCCCACACAACUUUAGAGCAUGCACGGCCAUUGCCGGCUCUUGUGUGAUCCAUAUCAUUUUAUUUAGUAUGUUAGAUUUUCUGAAAUAGCUUAGCAUUAAUGGUUGGUUAUAACUCGUUCCAGGUGUUAUGAGAACGUGAAAAUGAAUACUAUCAACAACUCUGCAAGACAACCACCUUGAAAAUUGCAAAUCAUAAUUAGUUUCUAAUUUCAAGUAAAGGGAAGAUAAUGGUUCGCUUUCAUUCGUGUCAUUUCAUCUACUCCCUCCAUCCCACUUUGAUAGUCUUGAUUUUUUUUUUCACACAGUUUAAGAAAAAAUAGUUAAUUUUGUUGGAACAAUCAAUUUAGGUAGAUAUUUUCCUAAAAUACCCUCACAUUAAUUAGAGUACAACUUUAUGGGAACUUGAAUUGAUAGUAAAAAAAGAAUCAACUCUCAUUAAAUGGGGUAGGUUUAUAGUAACAACAACUUACAUUGAAUAAGGGUAUUUUAGGAAAAUUAAAAUACAAUUACAUUCUUCAAUUGAAAAGUGGACUAUAAUUUGGGAUAAACAAAAAAGGAAAACAAGACUAUCAAAGUGGGACGGAUGGAGUAGUAGUUGCAUUGCAUAAAUUCUUGGUAAUGAUGAGAUACUCUUAAGUAUCUAGAUUUUGCACGUUACUACUACUACUACUAUCUUGGUACAAAUUAACUAUGAAGAUUUAAGACUCGCCUCGGUCUUUUGCCAUUUUAAGAAGCUGAACCCUAAACUUUCUGUAAAAUUUGGCAACGUCCGAGUAAAGAGCCACCUCUGUUUAGGCUUUCUUCACCGGGAAAAAAAGCAGUACUACUACAGAGUAUAGACCCAAUGCAUGCAAGGAUGACUUUCUUGUUUAGUGAACAACUCGACGUAGAGAGUGCCAUCUACCUAAAUAAAUCAUGCAAAAAAAAUAAGAAUCUUGGUUUCCUAUCUUUUGCCAAUAGAAAAAUGAAAAAAGAAAGGAUGGAGACAAAAAUUGACCCCAUGAAAGCUCAUAAUUCUCAUCUUCCCACUAGUUGGGAAAAAUCGAGUCGAAACGAGAUCUUGUUUCAUCCAAUUUGCACGCGUUAACCACGUAAUGUGUGAAGUUACUCCUGUACAAAAAAAAAAAAAAAGCAUAAUGUGUGAAUGUCUGGUUUCUGUUCUCUUAUUCCUAGAAAAUUAUCCUUUAUUACAUUCUUUAUUUUUAGUUACUUUGUAGUUACUAAACAAAAGGGAAAAUCACAUUUCUUAAAUUAGGAUUUUUGUUUCCCACAAUACCACCUGUUUUAAAGAUUGCAGAGACUUAACAUUUUUGGUAACUGUAAUUACGACUUAACAUUUUAUAAACAAAUGCCCACGAAUUUUAUAAAGAUUGCUGCCACCAUCCUUCCUUGGAAAAGCCGAAAAGGCACAAUUACUACUACUAUUAAACAUUUUGACCCAAAAAAAAAAAAAAAAACUACUACUAUUAAACACGAGAUUUUUCUAAUGGCUUUAAUAUUUGUAGUUGAGAAUUUUGGUCCCAACGAAAAUAUUUAAGGCUCAUUAUUGCCGUUUUGUCAACAGUUGUAGGUAUAGGGUGGUGAUGAUCACAGUCACACACACCAUUCUCUUUUUUCUUUCUUGAUUUUGGGUCAAAACGCACGUGAGAGACACAAGGAGUCGUCAAGAUUUAUCUUUCUUUGGUGGCUUUCGUGGGUUUUUUUUUUUAAAAAAAAAUAAAUAAAUAUAUGGGUUCCAAAAAAAAAUCUAGGGAAAAAAAAAGGCCAACCGUGUUUGAUAGGAUUGGGGUGGAUGGUCCAAGUCAUUACUCUGAUAUAGCUCAACGUGGAGGGGGAAAAGAUAAGAGUAAACGUACAUAUAAAAUGAUGGAAAUAACACAUAUUGUCGUUCAAUUGUAUGCAGAUAAUGUGCACAAAUGUAUUGAUCGGAUCUUGUUUGAUAUCAUCCAUCAGCUUAUCCUUCACAAACAGAGAUAUUUUCGUGGAAAGCUCUCUUGAGCUCUGUAUCUCCUUUUAUUUUCUCCUUUAUUUUCUCUGUCAUUUCUUCCAUUUCCUUUAACUUGAGUCCAAAAAUUGGAUAUACAGUAAUUCUCCUAUUAUGAAUAUAACCGAAAGAAAUUUAAAAGCAUAGGGUGAAUGACAAGGAUCUCUAUCUCUGAACAUUGCAUGGAGUUGCCACAACCCAAAUUCUUGUGCGAAGAAACCCCAAAAAAAAAAAAAAAAGGGUUAUCAGCCAGAGAGAUUAGCCCUACACUCGAACUGAAGUUUGCUUUAAUUAUUUUUUGUUUUCUGGUUAUUCAUUUCAACAUUUGGUUAAGGAUAAUUAAUAUGCAGACAAAUAGAUAAUAAUACUACGGGGGCUUUGUUCCUGCAGCCCGAGACUCUCGUACAUCCAUUUACUGAUCCCUAAAAGGUGAACGGAUUUGUUUUGGGUCCUCGGAAUUAAAUAGGAUCGAUCCUCAAAAUCCUAAAUAUGCUACUGCUGAUAACCUUUUUGAUGAGACGACAGAAGAUAUGUGGCCACUUCGAAUUCCCCGAAGGCAGAGAAUACCAAUAAUUUAAGAACGUUAACAGCUGGAUAGCGGACACGGCAACACUCGACAGGUUGAAGAUACAGACAUUUUUGGUGGAAAUUUAAAGGAUAGUAGCGAUGCUAUAUUAUUAUUUGCAUCACCAAACAGGCGUGUUCAAUAAAUUUGCGUGGGGCUUUUGUCACGUAUGAGCAAACAUUAGCCAUAUAUCCAUCUUUUGCCAUAUAUCUAUCUUUUGCUAUGGCCCUUCCUCUGCAGCUAAACUUGUACAAUGCCGGAUUUGACCAAACAUGGUACUGUAUUAACUGCUGAUGUUGGAAUAUCACCAACCCUCCAACUCCGAAUCAAAUGCUAAAAGGGCAAAAGCAUUUGAUAACUUGUAGUACUAAGCUUAGUAGCUUGCAACUUCGCCUUUCAUGGUGUUUCUUAUCUAUCCGCUGUAGGUUGUACCAGAGAGUCUUUAUCUGAAGAAGUAACCCUCUUGUUUACCUACUUAUACCUGCUCAGGGAAUAUAUAUAUACCAACAAAAAGGGAUAAGACGCAAGUUGCAGAAAAUUAUUAAUGAAUGCUCGUAUAACAUGAGAGAGAUUUUUCUACUUACCUAUGCAGGGGUAAGUUGUGGAACAUCCACCAAACGCUCCAUCUCUUGCAGCUGGUCAUAGGGAGCUAUCUGCACAGCAUAAACAAAAGUAACUCAAACUCAAGUCGGGAGCACCAGCAUCACAAACGGGCACUGCAAUAGUACAUAGAAGUAUAAACCUGCAUUAACCUACUCCUAACCAAAGCUUGUGUUGUCAAAUUCACUAGGAUGUUAGACAUCAAUAAUAUUAAGGUAUCCAAUUUUCCCACCAUAAAUAUAUGAAUCAUACUUUGCUAUUGCAACUCUGACAUGCAGCAUCAUUCAACUCUGCCUGAUUUUAGCAUCAUUCAAAAUUCGGGCCACGGUCUUCUGAUUUGCAAAAUGUGUGGAAACUACACGUCCUUGAACCAAAACAACUUAAAUUUUCUCUAUUAUCAUCAUUUUGCCGGGAAGAUAGAAUUAACGGGAUAGGGUCUCCUUAGAAUGUUAUUUCAAAUAUAUUGAUGUAGUUAAAUCAGAUAGUCCAAACACCUGGCUAAAUCCAUCAGGCCAAGUUAUCGAAACAGCAUAAUUUCCCAUAGGCCGAAUUUCUUCAGGUUCAAUGUCUUCUGGAAUAUCAGUAUACUGUAGUUUCUGCUCUCCAGUCCAUUCAUCCUGUGGCCAUCAAUGGCAAACGAAACACUAGUUAAAAUUUCAGUAAUGGAGGAGACUGACAAAUAGAAAAUUGUUGUGGGAGAUGAAUUAUUGAUUAUAAAAACAAACGAUGAGCGUGUCAAGCUCUCUCUCUCUCACUUUCUGAUAAAGUUGCUUUUUGUUUGCAUCAUCAGGACUAAAAUACUGUGACAUUCCUUUCCUUCUCGCUGUCCAAAAAGAAACUCUGUGUUUGCUUUCAUCAGAGCAUCACCAGAAUUAAAAUAUCACCACAGUUCCUUUCGGCUAGGUUUCAAAAAAUUAACCAACUUGUUCACAUAGUAUCAUUAGGAUCUAAAAUGCUAAGAAAGUUGCUUUCAGCUUCACUAGCCAAAAAGUAGUUUUUGGUUUGCUUUCUAACAGAAUAAAUAAAAUACUAUUCAAGUCCCUUUCGCCUUCUCUGUCCGGAAAGUAACACUUUGUUUCCUUUGUAUUAUCAGUACCUAAAAUAAUGGAAUAAGGAUAUAGGAUUCCUUGUGUAUAUCCAUCUUCCCUAUCUCCUGGCUAAGCUGGCCAUUACCCAUCAAAAAAUAUCAAAGAAGUUACUUUCUACACCUUAUUAUACACCUGUCCUAAAUCAGAAAUCUUCUUUCCGUUUGACUUUUUAAGACUUGUGAGAACUUGAAUACACAAUUCCUACUCUUGUUUUACAGAAACAGAUUAAUAGUGAAAAUUUUUUGUUGGAUGAACUAAGCAUCAGGUAGCAGAAUUAUACUACAAAACAAAAACAGAAUUGCAGGGUUACAGCCAACAAAGAUAUGCAUUUAACAAGAGGACAGCUGCUAUAAGACAAGCUAUUGGUGAUAAUAGGAGGACAUGCAAAAUCUUCAUGGAGAUCACAGAAAUCCUGAGUUCUAAAUUUAAUAAUGCUGGAAUAGACUGUUACUGUAGCUUUUUCCAUCAACAUAAACUUCUUGGUGGUGACAAGGCACUUAGUUUAAGAGCAUAAACUAAUCUUGUCUAUGCCUCAAGCCAUUUUAACAAGACUUUUACACUGAUCUAAAUUUUCUCAACACCUUCACUCACCGUCAUUAAAAAGGGGUCAUCACCAAGUGUAGUUGUGUGAAUUGGGAAUCGUGUAAGAUGGAUAGGCAAAAGGUAUCUCAUCUAUGGACGUGAUUCUAGACAGAAGCUGACUCUGAAACUCAAUUCUAUUACCCCAUGGAAUCUUAUACGACCAUUAGCCUCUCAUGAUUGCUCAUAUAUCUUUCAGAAGGGGAAAAAAAAUAAAACUUGUAGAACAAGAUUUCACUACAUACCACACUUUGAGCUGACUGAUCAUUUCGUCUUACAGUUGCAGGAUGCAAAUAGAAUUCUUCAUCAGAAGCAGGAACUUUGACCUUGAUUACCUUGAUAGUUCUGUCAUAAGUUACAGCUGUUGACACUGGAAAAAAAAAAAAGAAAAAAAAGGGUAAUCUGAUUGUCAAAUGACAUAAUUCACAGUCAAUGUCAAGUUAGUUGGUAGAGUAGCAAUCCUGCCCGAAUGGUGGUUUGAUUUCAUAGAAAAUGAUAAAUAAGGUCAAACAAAUUUGACUACAAAACUCAUUGUCAUGCUAAGAAGAUUCAUGUUACUUAAAAUUUUCACUCAUCCCCACCAUAAUUGUCUGAAGGAAUUUAAGAAAUAUGAUCUUGAAAAAGGUUUUCUCUUUGUAGAGAUUCCAGAAAACUCAAGUCGAGGCCUAACAACUUGCUAGCAUUUUCUUAGGCUAGAGGACUUACUAUAUUUUCACACUUUUUCACAAGAAGCUACUUCUUCAAUAGACUCCAAAAGCAUUUUCUUAGGGAAGAGGACUCAGUACAUUUUCAUGCUUUUUUACAACAAGCUACUUCUUCAAUUAACUUCAAAUUCUUAAAAAUAGAAAAAAGAUAAAAGAUAAAAGUACCUUGUUGACGGAUCUUGGCACACUGUUGGACAACGCAGACCCCUAAGUCUUGAAAUGUGCUGGCAAUUUCCCCUUGAGGGUCAGCCACCACUUCUGGCACUCCACUAUCUCCAGAAGCAGAUAGCUGUCACAUUGUUUCCUUUCUUAUUAAGAGAAAAAUUCUAGCCAUUGGUUCUCAUGUUCUAUCAAAAUUUUUUAAGUUUCCAUAUAGAAAAAGUAGUCAUGGAUUGAGAACUAAACAGACUUAUAUGAAGUCGAGGAUAUUUCACAAAUAUAAACUUCUUAAAACAGACCAGCUACAAAAUGGUGCUUUCUAGCCAGAAUUGCAAGAAUGGCACUUACACUUGGUCUAAUAGGAAGAUCAAACAAAUGGGGGAUUCCAAAUUGCUGAACAACCUGAACAGAUGGGGAUAAAUAAUUUAAGAAUUCAUGUCUCCAAAUUAUAUUUGACUUAUCAUGCUAGCCAUCAUUUUUGCAAAUAUUUUGUCAUGACACAGUUGCGAUGCCACUGUUCAUCCUGGUAUAUAAGUUAUCACUUAAUGUGUCAUAGAAGGAGCAGAUAAAUAUCAGAUUUUGGAAUAUGUAUAAACCUGAGAACCCGAACCUCUACCAAAAGGGUAAUACCGUUUUCCAUCAGCAUCAAAGUGGCACAUAUUUUCAACUACAGCAAUACAAGGCACCUGCUAACACAAAAACACUCAAUAACAGAAGGUAACUGAGCAACCAGCAUACAGUGAUGGGAAAGUUUCAGUAGAUAAUAUGUGGAAGGUUAAGAUCACCGCAUUUGCUUCAAAAUACAAUAAUAGCACACAUAAGUAACGGAACCAUACUUUAAGCUUUGAGAACAUCCGAACUCCCUUGGCCACGUCUAUAAAAGCAAGCUUCUGAGGUGUAGUAACGAUAACAGCAGCAGUCAAAGGAACAACCUGGUAGUUGAAUUGAACUAUAAGAUCUAAUGGAUUUUAAAAAUUACGGUGACAAUGUACAGAAUUAUCAAUUAAUAUUUUACAGAAAAGAUCCAAUAAAUGAGUACCGGGGCAUUAAAACAUCACCUGGCAUAAGGUAAGUUGAAUAUCACCAGUUCCAGGAGGCAUGUCAACCACAAGAUAGUCUAGUUCCCCCCUGCAUAAAAGUGAGAAUUAGAGCAUAAUAUCAAACCAAAGCACAUAAGCAUAUCUUAAACAGAUCUGAACAUUAACAUAAAACUUCCAAUUAGCUCUUACUAUAUUACUUUUCCUAGUUUAAGCAAACAAAUUUUUGCCAUGUGAUAAGCUGGAUUCAAAUCAAAGAGGUGCCAAUUGGAAUGAACAAUAUCUACAUUAUGUGAUUGACCUUUCCUCCUAAAAGUUUAAAACAUAACAUGCAAUAGCAAAACUUCCAAAUUUAAGAGAUCUAAUCUAAAUAUUAUGCAAGGCAUACCAUUCUGUAGUAGUCAGCAGUUGGUUGAUAACUCCAGAAACCAUUGGACCUCGCAUUAUUGCACGCCCUUGACCAGCAAAUCCAAAAGAUACUAACUUGACACCCAAGUAGUCAGUUGGAAUGAUGGUGUUCUUCUCUGGGUUCUGUUAGAUGUCUUUCGCUGGUUAUAAAAUGACCAAAAAGUAUCACACAGUUUCUCCCAAAUAACUGGAGAAUUACCAUUUCUAGCAGCCGAUUUUCAGGGGAGACCAUCGUUGGCAAGCUGGGACCAUAAACAUCUGCAUCAAAGAGACCGACUCUAGCACCCAUGCCAGCCAACGUAAAAGCAAGGUUGACGGCAACAGUUGACUUUCCUACCCCUCCCUGCAGUAAAUGCAAAGCUAUUGUAAGUGCUAAAGACAAUGUCACAGUAAAGCUACUAAAAGGACUCAAGACAAUAAUAAGCAUGAUAGCAGUUGAAGAUAAUAAUCGGUUAAACACCCAAGUCAGAUGUUCAAAUCAACUUCUUCAAGUUAUCUCAACAUUAAGAGUCCAAGUUUCACAUAUUCAGAUACUAGCACAGAAGUCCUAUAUUGCUUUAAUCCGAAAAAAACAAGUACACAGGCAAAGUCCCAUCACUAAAAUUUCUACUUUGAACAAAAUAAAGGAACUCAUACAAAAUGUGUACCCAUGCAGAUAUGUGUACUCAUACAAAAUAAAGUAAUGUAACAAACAAAUCAGGUUCAUAGAAUAGCUAACCAACAGAGAGAUUGCACAUGCUUUACCUUGCAACUCGAAACAGCUAUUAUGUUUGAUAUUGUUUGCAGACCCAUUGGAAGUGCCCCAGCAAACAUAGGUUUAGCUGGUUGUGCUGACAUUGUAACAUUUACUUUUCUCACCCAGGGGAGUGCUGCAACUACCUCAUUAGCCUUCUGUUCAAACUGUGGAAAAUGGAUUUUUACUGUGUGUCUAUGAUAUAUUCAAGUCUAAUUAAGAAAAGAGUCACUCUCACGGAGCUCUUUGAAGGGUGGGAGGAGGGGGUGCGGGGGAGAAUGCAACAAGUUGUCUAAAUAUAUCAUUUCAAUAAAAAGUUGAUCAAAGAAUGUAAUUAACGGAAGAAGCAGAGAAAAAGAGAGCUUUGGUUAAAGUGAAAAUCUUUUCACCAAAGAAUCCUGCUGCAAUGGACUUAAGCAAGAACAGAAAGUAAUAAAUUAAAUAGUAUGUACCACAGGAUACACACAUCAAUUCUUGAUCAAACAAUGGUGGUUGUGUUUCAUUUACCAUGUCCUUGAUUGGACAUGCUGGUGUUGUGAGCUCUAAGCGAAAUGAAACCUGAGAUUGAGUUGAAAUGUUGGGUAAGGACAUUAAACACUAGCUACCGGCUAAUAAAGUGAUUAGAUUCAUCUUUCAAAAGACCUCUCCCACAGCCUCAUUGACUAGAAGAUCUUUAACAAAGCCACAUGAGACGAUGUCUGUUCCAAAGUCUGGAUCAAUUAUCUGGGAUAAGGCUUUCAAUACAUCAGACUCUGCUGUAUGGAGUGAUACUGUGGAGGCAUUAGCUGCAAUAUUCCAAAUAAUUGUAAUUAUUGUAAAAUGUAACACAGACAAACUUCAAAUAUAUUAGUAUGUGAAGAAACACUAACUCAAAGAAAUGGACUUUAAAAGUAGUUGGUAAAUUGUACCAAAGGACAAGAAAAUAAAGGCUCAACAUGUUGGAAUUAUCCCUUCACCGGUGCAGCAUUGCCAAUCCACUACACAUUAGAAGUUUGUAAGGUUGAUAUGCAAUGCAGGACAAGGAGUAGGGGAAGUGAGCUUUAGAGGUCGAGAGAGGGUGAGAAGAAACUAAGUCGAGAACUAGAAUAAAGGAACUAUAUAUGUACUUCAAGACUCUUAACAUUCCUACAACUUUAAUUUCUUUUAUUUUUGGGUUAAUUACAUUUACCUCCCCUGAGGUUUAACCAAAUUACCAUUUACUCCCUGAAAUUUAGACAAACUACAAAAGGUCCCUCAAAUUGAAAGAUGUAUAACAGAUACACCCCUCCCGUUAGUCUGUUGCUGUUGACUGUUAAGAUUAUAAUGAUGCCAUCAUACAAAUUUAAUGAAAUGCCUAGAUUGCCCCUAAAUCCAUAACCUUCCCCUUCCCUUCGUUGCUUUUCUUCAAAACCUAACCUACUCCAUUUACCACCGUUGACAUAACUAUGGCAGCAAAAUCAUCGAGAUAUAUUAUCGAUACCCACUUUCAUGAUCAUUUUCUUGGUGAGCACGUUUUCACUGUCAAAAUCAUAAUAAAUUUAUAGAAAUUUAAUUGACUUCAUCUCUAUUAUUCCCAUAACAACCAUCCUUUUAACUCCGUUAUAAGCAGAGAAAACAUCCAUUUGAUAAUAUCAAACCCAAUGACCAACUACAGAUAUAACCCAGAGUUGAAAAAAUGAUUAUUUGGAACUCUAAAUACCCGCAUGAAUCAAGUCAGAUCCUGGCUGAUAACCGUUAAUUCCUCACUGCCAAUUUGAGUGAGUUUGAGAUUUUACUCGUCUCUGGAUUGGUCGAUAUGAUUGUGGUAGUUGCAGAGAAGGGAAAUACAACAAACAAGAUUAUUGGCCGACAAAGGGUUACAGACUUGUAGAGACUCUUUUGUGGUGGAUUGAGUGAACCUUUACAUUGCUUCUAUAAAUUUUCUUUCAUCGCUCAAUUGUCGGUUUCCUUUUUUCACUCUACUUUUUUUUCCAUUCCUUUCUUUGCUUUCACAUUUUAAUUUCUUUUUUGUUUUCUAGGCUUUCCUUCUUUCUUCAUUUUCUUUCUUUUGUUCCUUUAUGCACAUAUUUUAUCAAAUUUGAUUAUUACAUGCUUGGUUUUAUUUUUUUCUUUUAUACUGGUUAAAAACUGUUUUAUUUAAGUAGCAAACUCUUAGUUUAAUUUGUUAUUAUUGAAACCACCUUCGAUUUUUUAACGAUAAGUUUUCUCUAACUACAAGUUUUUACAGAGAGGGUAAAUAUGACAUUUUACUACUUCUAUUUAAGUGUCUUUGACGGGGUUACUUAAAAAGGAGGUACUUGUAAUAUUACCACACCACAGGCAUUUAAUGGUAGUUUGGUCAAACCACAAAGGAGGUAGAUGUAAUAAACCCUUAAAAAUUUGAUGGAAAUCAAUAAGGGUUAUUCAGACUUUUGGCUAUUUCCGUUACUUAUAAGUGACAGAAUGAUAGCAGCUCGAGUAGGGGCCAACCAAUGUCAAGUAAAGAGAUAGUGGUUCCGCGAGGUCCAAUUACAAGGAGUCGGGCUAAGCAACUUCAAGAGGCUAUACAAGCCCUAGUUCGUCAAGUUCAAGUGCAAGCGGGAGGGUCAAGUGAAGCUCAAGGGCUCAUAGUUGACGAUCUUAAACUUUGUACACUUGUUCAAGUGAUUGAAGCCGAAAAUGAAGAAGCUUAGUUCCUAUUUAAGGUUGUUAACUUGGCCAAUCAAUGGUUCCACUAAGGCCGAAUGGUUUUUGCCAUGUUUCCUAGUUUAUUUAAGUUAGUUUUGUUAGUUUAAUUGCUGGUUUACAUAAAGGGAACCAAUUCGGGCAGCUUGAGUCCUCAAGUGGGCCGAAGUGUUUUCCAAAUAAUUUUAGGGUUUCUUUUGUAAAGGCUAUAAAUAGCCUCCCUUCCUGUUAUCAGGGGGACAAUCAGAAUUUUACUCUCCCUUUUCCACUUGUGUGAUAACAACUCUCUUUCUAAGAGAUUCUUCUUUGAAUACUUGAGAAUUUACUUGAGUGUUCAUUGGACUUAUAAAUCAAGAAACACACUUGAUUGUGGCAUCUUCUACCUUGUUCCUAGGUUUACUUAUUCAAACUCUUGUGGGUUGCGAUUAAAUUCAAGGUUCGCGAGUUGUUCGUCUAGUGGAGUCAAGGAAUUCCGCCCUUAACUUGAUUUUAGCGUCUAGAUCCGUGACUAAUGGGAUACGAGUUCAGGCCUUCUAGGUGGGUUCGUAUCACAGAAGUUAGUGUGGGAGAGGAAUCUAUUAUUUGGUUAAAUCUCAGGGAUCAAUUCGUUAUUUGGUCAAACCUCAAGGGAGGUAAAUGUAAUUAACCCUUUAUUUUUAGGAUCAUAAAUCUCACCUAACAAAACCAUGAAAGUUGAUAAACUCCUAAUUAAUCGAAUCCUUAGCAGUUAGGAAAUGGAAAGCAUAAAAAAAAUCAUAUUUAAAAAUAUGCCUCACUUUCAAUGAGAUCCCAUAAACCUAAUUUCCUGUUUCGUGAGUCUUUCAUCGCCGAUACUAAAUACACAUGAGACUUCAGGACAUUCUUUUCCACAAAAUUAAAGGAACCUUGAGAACCCAAGAUUAUCACGUACUAGAAUAAUAUCAUUUCCACAAAAUUAACGGAACCUUAAGAAACCAGAAUUAUCCUGUAGUAGAAAUGACUGUUGGCUAUAGUUGUCAGUGAUCAUAGAGCAUAGUGAUCACAAAAUUCGGCAUGCCCCUGAAGCCUAAAGUCGUGUCCAUCAUGAAUAGAACGAUAUAAACUUUAAUUAUUCGUUUAGUAUUUUGGACUUCAAAUUGGAUUUCGUAAAAGGAAAAAAAGGAAAGGCUGAAAUCAAAUGUGAACAAGAACAAUGGUUUCAACCACUCAAUGCCAAGAAAGAAUUUAAAGCAAACCAACAUCAAACAACCUUUGAUUGAACCAUUUCUCUUCCUUUUUCCCCAAAAGAAAAGUGAAUGAUAACCAGUAAUGAAGUUGUUGUCGGGCAGAGCUACCAAAAGAGAAGAAUAUGAUACUUCUACGAACUCUUAUAAUUCAGGAAAUGUACCGAAAAAAAAGUGUUUGCAAUUGCGGGCUUUCUUAGGAGAAGAUGGAAGAACUUACCUUCAACAGAGGCAGCUUUAGCAGUGACGGAACUGAAACUUGAGUGGCCAAACGAUGCCCACAAGCUCUUUACAUUUCUAUGAGAUAGAAAGGAGCUAGAAACUGCAUGUACACCUACAAAAGCACAAGGUACAACUGCAUCUUAGUAGUCUAGUAACAAGUAGUGAUAGUUCUCAUGCAGGCAUUGAACGUUAAAACUGAGUGGGAUCAUAAUGUGGAAGGAAACUUUUACAUGCUUUCGGUUGAAAAGUAGAGUGAUGAAAUGGGAGUGUAGGAGAAGAUGAAGUGUGAAGAGAUAGCAUCUCUUUCGAAUGCUUCUCUCUCCUCCUCUGUGUGUGCUUGUGUUGUCUGUAAUAAUAUACAAUCAAACUUCUUCUUUUUUGCCCUUUUGGCGUGAGCAAUUCCGAUUGGGAUAGAGGAAGAAGACUGGAGAAUGGAGGAGAUGGCUGAGCAGACUGCAGAGUGAUGAGGUUGAAGGUAAAGACUAAAGAGCAAAGAGAUGAUGGCCUAAAAGAAGGGGGGAAAAUAUGAACCUCAUGUUUAUCCAUGCCACGUCAUCUUUGUAAUGGGCUCAUCGCUUUGCAGCAGCCACAGAAUCCAUAGACAGGGGACCCGCUGGAUUUACUUUUCAAUUGGCUUCAUUUCAGCAGAAACCCUUUCUCAUGUUUUGCUUUCGAUGGGUUCAUUUAUUCACGCAUCGAGUAAAAUAAAAGACUAAAAAAGAAAAGUCGAUCGAGCUGAUGAUAAUUGCAAUUUUGAGUUGUUAAUACGGUACCAAUGGGGUAAAAUGGUUCAGCUUGUCAAAGGUUUAGAGGGAUCGAAUUUAGAUUUUUCAAAUUUAUACUAUAUGCAUAUAUAUAUAUAUAAAAGACCAUGAUGACAUUCAUGAUUUUUCAUACCAUGUACAAAUUCUAUCAAAUAGCAUUCAAAAUUUGCAUUGUGAUACGUUUAUUUCAACAAAUUCAUACCCAAAACUUCUUUCCUCUUCCGUAAUACUUUUAGUUGCGAUUGAAGUGCCUUCCUCGCUCAUUUUGUCUUGGCCAGACUGGUCACUGGUCAUAUUAUUAUCCUCUCUUGCCACGUUUAGAAAAACACAUGACGCGGUCUCUCAUCUGCAGUCAGGGUAAGGCUUUGGGAAGGCAAGACUCGUGAUUUGAUGGAAUUCCUCUACGGACACCAUAAACUUUGCGUGGCUUCAACUAAAUCAUAUUGAAACAAGAGUUACGACACGUCGUGGAGGUUUUAUUUACUAUUUAGUUUAGUGAUUAUCAACUCCGAAGAGCCCUUAAUCUAAGGGUCAAAACUUGAUAUCCUAACAUUUAUAAAUCUUGAGUUUAAAUCCUCUUUUCUUCUCUCCUACUAAAAAAGAUUAAAGAAAAACAAGAGUUACCUCUCAAACACAAAUUGCAAUAAUAGAAGAAUAAAGUUUCUUUUCACUUAGAUUUUGAUACCCCAAUCUUUACAAAUAUGUUUGGCUUCUUGGACAACAGAGUCGUUUUAAGUGGUUGAUUUUGAUCAAGUUUAAUUUACCACAUCUUUUGCUAUCCUAUCACCACUUCAAUGCAGAGAAAUAUGGACCAAUAUUUGAUAGUGAUUUGAUUAUUUUUAUAUCUACAUUUUUGGUUUAGUUAUUAAGAGCACAUUGGUAAUCUUGUUAAUUUAUGACCAUUAAUAGGGACAUUCAAUGUUAUCAAUCUAAUAGGGGUAAGUUAAAUUUUAAAAUUUCCAAGAGAGCUAAAUGAUAUAAUGAAAUAUAUCAAGGAAGGUUUCCGAAAUUAUUCCCAAAGUUCAAGUGCCAGGUCAGGACUUGCAGAGCAUAACUACACGUAAGACCAUUUUCAGGCACUUCACCCUUCAAAUUGUUUAUGUUGCGCAACGAUAUCCACCAUAGUGUAUUUGCACAUGAAAAAGCUCCCUGGCCUCGCAGUUCAAUCAGGAAAAUUUCCUGAAGAAACAGAUAAAUGCAACAAAAUUGGAUAAUAACUUCAAUCAGAUCUAAUGCAGUUUACAGGCGUUUAACUGCUGCCUAACUCAUACGUUCCUGCUAAAACUGCAGGAGCCAUGAAAUCCUUGUAUUAUCCAAAACAAAGAUAUAAGCUAAAAUAGGUGAAGAUGUCUAAUAGCACAUGAGAUCUUCCACCCUUCUACACUAGAAUGCACUGAAAUUAAUGGCAUAAAAUGGAACUUUGAUAAUUAGUUCAACUUCUCCAAAAUGUGAUUAUGGUUCAGAAAAUGCCUAGUGUUCCUACAAUCUGAUAUCCUCCCAAGGAUUAAGGCCUCUUCCUGUGGAGAAAUAAGGAUUUGUUACCAUACGGCAACCUGAAAUCUUUUACCAGAUCACCUUGUCCGCAAAAUAAAUGAAUCACUUCACCUGUGACUAGGAAAAAAUGCAUGUACAAUGAACGGUCAAGAUGAUCAGCAAUAAUUUAUCAGAGGGAUGAUAAAUGGUAAGUUAAACUGCUGAUUAUUACUUCCUCAACGCCCCCGUUAACCUAAUGCCAAAGCCUGCUGCAGAAGCCAUUUCGAGGCCUCUUGCUUGAUAUUAUAUCACUAAACGAGUCAACCAAUUGUCCAGCCAAGCUACUUGGAUCAUCAAGUAGAGUUUGAAUAAAAGUGUUUACCACCCUGCGUUCUUGGUCGGUUGAUCUCAAGCUGAACCACGUAAGCAAUUUCAAUCUAAACUCCUUUUCUAUGUAGCCUUCACACUCCAGCCAGCGUAUGAUCUUGACACAGUACUCAAAAUUCUCAUCCAGGCAACCCGGUCCAUUCCGCACUCGAAAUGGUGAUCCAUUUAUAAGAGUGCUAUCAGAAUCAUGUGUCUCUCCAUUGCUAGCUGCUCUCUUUCGGCUUGCUUCCACCUUAGAGUCGACAGCAGGCACCUCUCCAUUCUGCCCAUGGUUCCAGUUUUGGGAGUCACCACUACCAUGCGACCUUGCUACACCAUUUUUCUCAAUGUCAUGAGAAACUGCAUCAUCAUCUGCCUCAACAGUCCGUGCUAAAGUGCAACCAUUAUCUUCAUCUCUUGAUGACUCAAUUAGAGGAGCUGCCUCUUCAUUUAGAUCGGGAACUGAAGCAACAUUUAAAUCAAGUUCACGUGAAACAGAUGGGACGUCUUCUUGUAUGCUUUCUGGUUUAAUAACUUUACUAACACUACUACAUCUAACAAUAUCUGCCCCACAGAAUCUCUCAAAACAGCCUUGUUCUUGAGCCCAAGCCAGUCUCAAGAUCUUUCCAAGGUCCCUGACUUUAAAACCGGAGUCAGAUUCAAUGGCAGUAGGAGUUCUGUGCUCCAUCUCAGCACUUGAGCUGCCUCCAGAAUCUGGAUUCUCCUUCCUAUGGCUAUGAUUUUCUGCAACUGAAUUGGAAUUCUUGUGAAUUAUCUCUCUGCUCUUGGUGAAGCACUUGGCCUCAGAGUGCCCCAAGUCACCUCCCUCCAUAUAAGAAACUAUGCGGAAGGAGUAUUCGGUGCAGGGCUGCAAAUUGGAUAUCAAAAUCCUCCUUUGAGCUCUUGGAAAUACACAAACAGGCUCCUUGGUGUAAUUUUCUUCCCUACUCUUACAAUACCAAAGCUUGUAGCCCUUGACAUCAUUGGAGGAUACACUAGAAAGCUCUAUCAAUACAAUUACAACUGAAGUAGAUGUUACUUCCUCAAACAAGAAUCUGCAAGCAGCAGGCAGUGAACCCUCUGCCAAAAUUGGAAACCAAGCGCCUUUUAUCAUAUAUGACAUGCAAUGUUUUCUCCACUUAAGAAACAGUAAAUACGCAAAGACAGCUAGUAGUACCUCUGUAAUCUGCGGUGGCACUGGACUUUGAGGUCAGCCAUUCAUCAGCUUUCUCAAUGGCAAGGGAGCAGAGCGUCUGGACAUUGCCUGCAACAGAAAGUCUGCUGACAAUUCCCCUGGCCAUCUUGGCAGAAACUCCAUUAACUGGGCCGACCUCUGUUUCUAACUUGGCCUUGGCUUCUUUAAUAAUUUCAUGGAGUUCUUUAAAUCUGGAAGUCCCAUCCAGGAGCCUAUAACUCAGAAAUAUCCGAUAGCACAGGACGUCCACUCGACGAGCAUCCUUCGCUAUAUUUAGCUGUUUCUUCCAGUAUCUGUAAAAUCAAAACCACAGGAAAAAAAGUGCUAUUACCAAACCAAAACAGCUUCUAGUUGAUCUCGAACUUUAUUCAUUCUAUUCUUUUUUAAACUUGAUUUCUGUCAUUAUUUGCAAGUCACAGCAGAAAAUAGUAGGUAAAGUUAUCUUUCAUUAAACAGGAACAACCCAAUAUGAAGAAUAAUGUUUGUACCAUCUUGUCUUUCCACUUAACAGGAUAAGCAAAAAUUUGAAUGCAAAUUCAAAGGAAAAAUAGAAUGUCAAAGCAAAAACAAAGCCAUAAAAAAUUGCAGUUAAGAAAUGACAUCUAGUAGACAGAAGUUUGUUGGUUUGCUCAAAUAUUUAGGUAUCACUGCACAUUUUUCUGUUUGAUUGUGUUUGAUGUAUAUUGAUCAGAGAGCUUGAUCCUAUUUCAGAUCUCUGAGCCUGUCAAUGUUUAUGCUUUGCAUUUCAUCGUAUUCCUUUCAAGUUUCAACUUGAUUACACAAUGCUUGGGGUGAAACAGGACGGGUUGGUUUUGUCAACAACAGCUCUGAAACUCGUAGAUCACGAAAUUAUUUUUGUUAUUGAAAUAUCCAUAAGAUGAUUAUCAAAAGAGGCAACUUACCCAAGUAUCCCUGAAACUUUACCACAAGCAGCACAACAAUAGCUUCCAUCUAGCUGCAUCAGUUGUCCAAGAUCGACCACCCCCACCUUCCCACGUUGGAGAGCACAUUCAAUGUGGCAAGAUAGGCCACAGUAGUCCCCCUGGCCAGAUUCAGAUGCACAUUCUAACCAAAGACUUGGAUCCUUGUUGUCAUCAAAUAAGUGACAAAUGCAGCAAGAGCACCGCUUACAGAAUGUGUCUUCUAUGGAAAGAGUUGCUCGACAUGCAGAAUUUUUGCAUAUCCAUGAAUUCGAACAUUUAAAAUCAGCACAUUGUUCUGUUAUGGGGGGAAUGCGGACAGGGUUUUCAGCUUUUCUAUUUUGUUUUUUCAAAGGUUGAUCUUUGGGACUUGAAGCUGUUUUCUUUUGAUCCAGGUUUUUAAUUGGUUUUUUGCUAAUUUUUGUAGCUGGUUCAGACAUUUUGCACUUUGAUGAAGCUGAUUGUUUCUUUUCCUUUUCCAAGCAAGUAUGCAACAGAUCCUUCCUUGCACCAGAUUUUAGAAAUUCUUGGAGUACCUUGGGGCUUCUAGAAGCAUCAUCUGAGUGUCCAUUCUUCUCCGGAGUGCUGUGCACACUGGAAGAUAGACUUUGAAUGCCAGAAACUGUACAUGAAAGAUAACUCAGUCAGGAUCCAGCAAUCAAUACUACAAUUAGCCAAAAGCUUCUUUUGUUCAGGUAAUCUGGCAAAACUUAAUCUUAUGUCCCACAUUGGGUAGUUAGUAAGGGUAGUUUAGGAAAAACAUAAAGUGACAAAAAUUUGUGCACACCAAAAGUUCCCUCUCCCUUUAUAUAUAUUAUAGAUGUCCCACAUUUUCUGCUUGUUUGCAUAACAGAAGGUAAUUUUAUCCUCUCCACAAUGAAUUUUCAAUUAAGAAAGAAAACAAGUAAACAAUCAUCUUUAACAAUCUUACCAUAAUUUACUCAGAAAUCCAGUAAAUGCAGCCAAAAGACUGAUAAGAAAGCUAUUACUUUUAUCAACUAUUACAAAAUAAUAAUAAAUUAAUUAUACUCCUCCAUAGUUUGUCAAAAAAAAUUUUAAAAAAAAUCUCCUUUACAAUGCAAAAUAUGAUUAAAGAACAAUAAGUUAAUUUCCAUGCCAGUCUUCUUUGUUCUCCAAGCUUUGUGGAGCAAAUAUCAGUGGAAAAGUAUUACAAAACCAUAAACAGAAAUUAAAAGGCCUUCCCUCCAUGUGUAGACAUGCUUUAGCCAGCAGUGAAAUCAAAUGUAAUGGAUCAAAGAAGCAUGUGCACGCGACAUACUCUAGUGCAGAAUUCUUAUUCUAAAGGCUUCUUAACCUUUUCUUUUUUCCUAAUAAACAAGGAUAUUAACAACAAACAAUAAGAGGAAAAACAUGGAUCAUUGUGCUACCACAAUAGAACCAACUACUGAAGAUGAUAUGAGCCGUUUGCUGUUUGACCCAAACCUAUAUUAUGUGAUCAAAACUAAACAGACCCAGAAAAAAGAAAAAAUACUAACUGUUUCUCUACUAGUAACCCAGAAAAGAGCAAAAAUACUAACUGUGUUUCUGCUAGUAAUAGUAGACUUGUUUAGGAGAGCAAACCGCAAUUACUGGAGCAUCAGAAGAUGUUGCACUCGAACAAUAAGCAACAUAGCCUACAGUAUCCAAUAAAUCACUACUUUUGCUAUGUAAGAUAAAUGGGAUCCAAUAAUUCAAAAAGUUGACCUUAUUCAAAAGAUAUAACAAAAUGCCCCAGGAUCAACGUAGGAAAGGAAAAGAAAGAGCUCUUUUACCAGCAGAGAAGAAAGAAGAAUCAACAUGUAUAUUGGGAUUGGUUAUUCUUACAACCAGCAGAGGAAGAGGCACAACUACAUGUAGCAUCUGCAACAGGCCAUGAGCAAUUGCUAGAACUGUUCCAAAAUUUUGAAACAGUAGUUGAAAGUGGAGGGGUUAGGAUAAAGGGGAGAGUCAAAGCCAAAAGAGUAAGAAUGAUGCAAGUGCGGUAAAGGGAUUCUAAGCAGCACCCACCAAUGCCAUGAGCGAUGUUUGGCUUUUAAAAAAGAGUCCUUUAGAACCCGAUUUAACCAUCUUAUAAGGAUUCUCAACCCAUAGCUACUACAAGUGAACUACUGGAGCGUGACUUAAGAAACCAAAAAAAAUUUAAAAAAAAAUUGAAACAUAUCAGCUAGCAUGAAAAGUUAGUUAUCAAUUGCAGGCCGAAAUGAAAUAAUCAAACCAAAUUGAUCCUAAGAAAAAAUUCUACAUUUUGGAUCAUCUACUAGCUCAAAUAGAAUACUCCAACAACCACCAGUUAAUGACACAAAUAUAAGCCACCUGUUCUGAUGAUUCAAUCAUAAGCACGUGUCACCAAGCAUACAAAGAAAAGUAAAAGAUAUUUUAUAUUCUCAUAAAAUUCAUACCAAACAAUCAUUUUUUUACUUAAACAAUGAGGUAAUUAAGAAAUAUAUCAUGUCCUAUAAUUCAUACUGAAAUUUUGCAUUAAACAAACAUUAUGACAAGGGAAAACUAAUUACGCUAAGUGACCAAAUCAAGGCAUUAAUGAGAUCAAGCUGCACAUUAGCCAGCAUUUUUCUCUUUAUCAGCAAAGUUAAUUGUAAAAAGAGUCUGACUGAUCAACUUUGUCAGCAAGAUUCCAUCACGAAGUUAACUUUCCUAUUUCUAAUUCAUGUAAAGGGUAUAUGAAAUUUUUCUUAACUCGGCCAAAUCAUUGAUCAUACAGUAUUUUCUUCUGCUAGAAGAUUACAUGUCAUGAAUGUUAAGAUAAACUUGAAGCCAUCCAAAUCUUGUAAUUAAUUACUUUACCAUAAAGUAUCAUCAAUAACUGUAGCAUUUACUAAUUGCUUUCCUUUUGAUCCAGGAAAGGCAAGAAUUUAUUACUACGACUAUCCAACUAUGCAUCCACAAACAUGUAGCAUGUUGAAAACAUGCUUUGAUCUUUUGGAGAUACUAUAGUGCUCUUCUUUUAAUUCAUCAAAUUUAUUUGCAAUUGAUUUUCCUUGUUCCUUCACUCCUUUUACCCCACCUUAUUUUCUUCUUCACUACAGUGGUUGGGGUCUUGCGCAUUGCGCUUGACAUGCUCAGGAAAUCAAGCAUACUCUACAUAGACAAACCCAAAAUCCCUAGUGUAUAAUCACUCAGUAUGGGAGAAAAGAAAAUAAAAUUACUUGACCAGACUAAGAUCACGUUGGCUUGUUUCUUAAAGCCAAAUUCAUCUUCCCUUCAGACCAAUUCCCAAAGUAAGUCCUUUGAAACAGACUACAGCGACAAUCCUCAAGUUCUUAGAUGAGCAUCAAAAUGAACUUUACAACAUUCACCAUGCCACAUAUCAAGGAUGCAAAACCAAGCGUCAGAGAAAGAAUGCAAAAUCACUAACUUGUAUGUUGGGCAAGUAUAUAUAAAUUAAUAAAUCUUAACAAACGUGGAUAAUGCAACUGACUUCUAUCCUCCAUUCGACUUAGAUAUGGAAGCUUUAAGGUCUAAAACCAUUAGCACGUGCCUCAUAGUGUCAAAGAAAGUAAGAAAAGACUGGUAAGAUGAUCUCAAGACCAGUAUCCUAUUUGUGAUUGAUAGUAUUCGAGUUAGCGUUGGUGCAUUAAAAGAUUGCAUAAUUUAUGGUCUUUAAUAUUUCUUAGCAAGACCUUUUACAGGUUUUAAUACAAAAUUCUACUCCAAUUUCUUAUCAUAAUGUUUUACACUCCAUAAACAGGUAAAGCAUUAUGAUUAAUAGGUAGUUCAUCUCAAGGAAAACAUAUCAGAUUUCUUUGUCCUUGCAGCAUGUCUGCUCCUCUAUCCAUAUUUAAUAUUUUAAGCUUAUGGGGAGAACAGAUCAUAGUUACAAUUUUACCAGCGUAAGAGUAACAGUCAACAUGAAUCAGAGUGACAGUCAAUUAACUAGGCAAAGAUAAUGUCUAAAUAUCUGACUAUGAAGGUUACCCAGAUGUUACCAAUUAACACAAGUUUUCAAUCUCCAAAGUAAAGGUUCUUAAAAUUACAUAUAAAAAUUAAAAAGAACACUUGAUGAUUGAUCUUCUCUUACAAGCUAUCAAACAUACACAAAUCACACAAAGAUCAAACAGCAAUAUGGUCAUACAAUCAAUACUGUUGACCUUCUUAGCUGCAAAACAAAAAGGUUAUAGAUUUACUAAAGAACAAAAUCAGACCUAUGUUCUAGCUUUGAUCUCAAGCAGAACAUAAAAAUGAUAGUACCCGACGCAAUACACUCUUUAAUUUAUGAUCUUAAACAAUCAUGAUCAACAUCAAUGACAAUGCUUGAUCUUCACACAAUUAACAAUAUAAAAAUAACACCCUGACCUUGCAUUUCUUUGAGUAUACUGAUAUAUGUUCUUGGUGUCAACCCCUUAUUACAUGAGCAUUGCGUUUUGAGCAAUUUAGAAAAUGCUAAGAAUCAAUGGACAAAAUUGAAUCCAUAAGUCCACCAAUAAAACGGAAUUCCUGAAGAAGCUAUAAAUUACAGCAUAGUAUCCUUGCCAAUUAGGGUUGUUUUACUUUCAAAACAUUUGACCUCCCCAGUUAGAAAGACGCAACCACAAUGCUUGAACUUUAUACCUAGCAUGUAAUUAAGAAUUUACUUCUUCCGGUUAUGUUAGGCCCAAGAACUAUAUGCUCCAUCUCAAAGUUUACAUUCAGAAUUGACUAUUUAGGUCACACUGUUGAGUUCCAAUGAACAUAAUGCUUAACUAUUCAACUUGGCAAAGUUUCAUAUUGAAGUUUGACAAUAUACAACUAUCUUCUUCACAGAACAUAUACACCACAGCAAACAUCAUUUGACUGUCAUUAUUAAUAUGGCAUUCAACUUGCAAUGAGCAGCAUAUUAAACUUCAGAAGCAAUUUGACAUUACAAAAUAUUAAAUGUGCAGAAUGUUAGAUUAUCCCAGUCUAAAACUGCAGAGAAACAUGACCACAAAAUGCUUUAGUAACUCAAACAGCCAGAAAACGGAGGGAGGAAAGAAACUUUUUGUUUUUAGUUUGAUUUUGAGGAAAUGAAAGCGUAUUCUUCGGAUAAUAGUUGGAACAAUAGACAAACAUAGCACAAGUGUAUUUGCCAAGGCAAUAACUCAGGAGCUAAAGGCUUGCACCUUUGCCAAGCUACCGAUAGUUAUAAAACAUUUACUACUGUUCUAAAGAAGAAUACAAGGACGAUAUCAAAAUCCUGCACCAAGAUUUCCAACCGAAGUCAGAUCAAAAAGAAACCUGACAAGCAAAUAAAAAGAAAAGAGUGGAAUAAACUGGAAACAAACUAUAAAAUUUGAAUCCUUUGUUGAGAAGAAACGGACAAAUUGAUGGCGCCUUUGGAAAUAAGGAUACUUAAAUAACUACAGAGGUGUUUAAACAAUUAGAAACAGGAAAGAAUGGUAAGUACACAUGUAUCUAGGAUAAUGGUUAAUAUCCAGGAAAAUGACAAGCUUUCUCUUCAAAUUUUGUUGAUUUCUACAAGCAAGUGAUUGAUACAAAAGCAAAUUGUAGCCAGGUGGCAACUUCCUCAUAUACGAAGUCACACACAACUGUCUCACCUUUAGCAAGAAAUUUAUCUUCCAAAUCCAUGCUAUGACAAGGACCUGGAUGCAAUCCUCCCUGAAACAUUAAGUAAUUUGAUGAAAUUUCCGCAUUUUCAUGUGCAGACCAAACUGGCUAGCUUUCAAACAGAGAAAGAAUAAAAAUGAAGUUUCCAAUACAAGAAAUUAAUUCACACUCUGGCUCAAAAACAGGUUGAAAUACACAAAUGUCUUAAUAGGCAAAAAAAAAAGGCUAGUUAUAAGAAAAUUGAAAAAAGUUGGACAGGGAAAAUUUCAAUUAUUAGGUCUUGCAGAAGAGCCAAAAAAUGCAGCCAAAAGCAGCAAGAGCAGAUCAAGAUUCAUAUGUUGAUUAUACACAAAGGAGUUAAACAUCUAGUACUUCAACCACAAACAUAAUAGCAAUUGUCACAGGCACAAAAACAAGAAAGCAGGAAAGAAACAAGCACAGAUGCAAUUUAUAAUCAAUUGCACUUGAAUAAUUUACUGCAAGUAAAUCACACAUGGAAAGAAAACCAUUUCAUGAUAACAAAUGUAGACCACCCAAUAUAGAGAACGAGAGAACAUUUAGGUGUUCAAUGAACUGCAUGACAACAUAAGUAACAAAGUUAAAUAUACACAUCUCCAGGCUUUUCGUGUUUCAAUGAAGCGCUAUUGUAGAAUUGGGCUUUUCACUAGACACAAUGCUGCAGAACCUUUUGGUCAUAAACAAAAACUGGAACCAUUAAAAUUGUCAUGUAGGCACAAAGAACUAACCAUAAACAAAGACUGUGAAUCAGAACCUGUAGGCCUCUGAAUUAAGGGGUUUUGUAGUUUCCCAUUAGAAUGUAAUCUUUGAAUAGGUCAGCUAACAAGCUCACCUGGCACUGAUUGGGUCGGAGACUCAGACCUACUCCCAACGAUAUGUCCAAUUAAAACAUGCUUUCCAUCUCCAAUAAAUGCAUAUAUCUAUCUUUUCAUGUGAUAUUAUCUACAUGCACGGAUCAUAAAAGAAGAAAAAUUCAUUUCUUUCCAAUUUUAAAACUACUUGGUAACAAACCCAUCCAAAAACCAAUAAACAACCAACAAAAUACAAACACAUUUCGCAUAUUUCACAAUUUUCCAGAUUCUAAAGUCCACACAUUGUCUAAAUUCAACACAAAAUCCCGUCAAAGCAACUUGUCAAACUCAGCUUUGACCUCCUAGUACUGAAACCAGCUCCAGCACACUAUUCAUCCACAAAUCUCAAUAAACAAUAAAAUAAGCACAACAAUACAAUAAACACUGCCGGAAAUUCCAUAAAACGACUCAAAAUCACAUAAUUCACACAAUCACACGAGUAUCCCAAACGAAGCACAAAUUUAACGCGCACCAUGGAACAAUUAUCACAGAUCUGACAACAAAACCAUUUAGCAACACAAUUUACUCAUACUAAAACGUGUAAAUACGCAUCCCUCAACGCAAAGAAAAGCAAUGGAAUAUCAAAGACUUUACCCGGCGGAGAAUUAUUAGGGUUUUUGGUGAAAAACGGAGGGAGGGAGGCUUCAGGGGAGGUGAAAAAUGAAUGAAUUUUGUUUGGGAAGCCUCUCUGGCUUUGUUAUGUUAGUUGGAGCAGGGUACGAAAAAUAAAACUAUAUUUUAACACAAUUUUAUAUUUCGCUUCGAUUUGUUCACUUCUUCACGCACGCUAAUUGGAGAUGUGAGCUAGGAGGGAAGUCACGCGCGGUGGUAGGAGCGUGGGCAAGAAUGAUUCAGUUGAAAAGUGAAGCAGUUGCUGUUAAAGUACCAAGAGCACCUGGCAAUGUUGUGACUUGCCCGUGAGUGGCACGUACCUAUUUGGCACGUGAAGAUAAGGUAAUACAUUUAGCUGAAUUCAUCGUAUGCACUUUUACGUUUUUUUUUUAAUUAAUUCUUGGGCUUGUUUAGUAACUCAGCUUGAUGCUGAAAAUUAUUCAGCAGAACAUUUUUGAAUCUUCAGAAUUUUAAGUAAAUAUAUAUUUAUUCAAUAGAACAUUUUGAACCUUCUGAAUUUUAAAUAAAUACGUGAAUCUGUUAAAUUGAGUAUACAUACUAUACCUCUUUUAUGCACGUAACACACUACUGAUAUUAUACUGUUAAGCACGUUUAUUUUCUUUAUGUUCGACGCACAUGAGCACGCAUGCCUACACGCUCUCUUACACACAAAUACACAACUUAAACACCACCUCUAAAUUAUUUAAUUCUCUUGUCUCUCUCACACACACAUUUUUCUAUUUAUCCAAAUACAUAAUUAAUGACAUUUUUUAAAAAUAUAUAUAUACACACAAUAUUUUGUGUUAUAUUUCAAUUUAGUAUUAUCAUUCAGUUGAUUAUCACACAAAUAUAAUUUAAACAAUUCAAUAAAUUAAUAAUUCAGCACUUAAUUUUUAGAAUUUAAGAUUCGGACUUGAGUUUUAUCAAACAGAUUCUGAUUUAUUUAUAUUUAUUAUUGAUGUCACACGGAGUCUAAACUUUUCAUUCAACCAGAAAGUCGGGGGACGAUAAUGAACAUAAAUUAGUAGUGGUUUGAAACAUGUGUUUUGUUUUUGGCGUAAAUUCCCGCUGUCUAGUAAUUUUGAGCCUUGACUAUUCCGGAAUCGAGCGUGGUCACUCUCCUUAAGUUCUUCGUGCGCCGUACGUGUUCAAUAGCUGUUCAAAUUUCCCAAUAAUUAGUUGCCCCCACUCAUCCGUUCAUGACAGUUCUACAGAGAGGACCAGGGCUGCAUGUAAUUUUAGAAUCAUGGUCCCUUCCAACUCCAAACCAAUGGAACUUUUAGCGAUAGCUAUAAAAAAAUGGUUCUUUCUUUUCUUAUUAUUUCUCUGUUUUAUUGAGGGUGGGGGCCUGCCGGAAGAGAAGGCAGGAUUGGCUGAGAAUUACAAUAGUGCCAGCUGGCAGAAGAGACGCAGUGGCAGGCAGCCUAUGAACCUUUGGCAAGUUUCUCAAAGGCCGUUUUAGUGAGGACAUGAGAACUGUUGCGGUCCACAGUAGGAGUCAUCAGUCAUCGAAUCACAUUUUAUCUUUUAAGGUAGCCAGCAUUCUUAAAUGCGUUUUCUUGAUUUUGUUUGGAUUGAAAUGAUUUCAGAAAAAAUAAUUUUUUUUAUAAAUUUUAAUAAUUUUUUUAUUUUUUUAAUUAUUUUUUUAUUUCACAUACAUCACAUCACAAAAAGUAUUACAGUAAUUAUUUCAAAUAAAUCAUCCAAAUAAACUUCUCUCCGUAUUUCCAAUCACCUUUAGAUGGACUGGACUCCGAGGUCUCAGCUGACAUGCAGCAGGUGCAUUGGGGAUUUGAAGCUUUCUACAAUUUGCAAUGGGUAUCAAAACAGAAGUAGACAUUGUCUGACAAUGAGUGUAAACAUUUUAUUAAGUCGGCAGUAUUUGGUCCAUGAAUUCUAAUCGAGCCUAUCUAGUCCAUGAAUUACUACCUAGCAGUGCAAUUCAUCUGCCAAUUGCAAGAAACCUCAAUCCUUGGGGAGUGAGCGUGUACUGCGAACGCCUUCCUUUUGUCUCAUUUUUGGUUGGAUUCCAGUUUUAAUAUCGUAACCGAUAAAACAUGCACAACACGCGACCCAGUGCAUGUUUUUCCGUUUCACAUUUUUCGCGCAGUGGUGUACGAGGGGGGAAAAAAAAAGGAGAGAGAGAGAAAGAGUUUAUAAUGCGCUGGUGAUUGGGACGGUUUGGCGUCGAUGUAACACAAAUUUUCACAUUAUAUAUAAGUAUUGCGGACAAUUUACUGCUCAAAUGGUGGCUAAGAAAAAAAGGGAGGAAAGAAAAGACGCCGACUUGGCGUGGAACUCGUCUUCCUUGCAUGUUCAAACAUCCACGCGUCUGCGCAAUUUCUCAAUCUUGUGAUAAGUAUCUUUGAACGAAGUUGCCAUGUGUUAAAAUGAAGUCGGGAGUUGGAAACGAUCAUGGCACACUUUUCGUGUACUUUCUUUUUUGGAGAGCCAAAUGGUGGGGAAGAUUAAUCCCACCCAAUUGGCCAACUGUUUUUUGGCAUAUUUUAGUAUAUCACUUAAAGUUGAGAUGUUGCGGGCUGAUUGGCUCCUUAUUGCCGCCAUAAAUUGACCUCUCCACUUGGUGUACUUACAAGUAAACGACUAGUCAGCCAUACAAAGGAUUGAUUAACAAGGGGCGGUGGAGAAUCGAUUCCGCGGCGCUUUGGAUUGGAUACACUCAAAGACCGUUUGAGGAUCAAGUUCCGAACAAAUCGCAGCAAAAGAGAACGGGAGAGCACUGAGCCGAAAUGUAGCCUUUUUUUUAUUCCUCCUCUUUUUUCUUUUUUUUUUCGGUAAUGGUCGUAAAAGGUAUGAUUCACGAAUUCUGCAAUCACAUGGACGUACGUAGUGGGUGCAGCUAUUAAAUAUCAUCAUUUGACUUGGGCAUUCACGUCAACAAAUGGAACCUGUCAUUAAUUUCCGUGAAUAUUAAGUACUUCCAUUGCUUUUCUGGUACAGUUUCUGCUAAUCAUCAUAUUUGGACAAUUUUACUUGAAGAAUGAGUUAGCGAACCACAUGACAUGAAUGAGUUCAAUUUUUGGGGGGGGGGGGGGGGAAGAAAGGGUACUUCCAUUUACUAUUUUCUUUUCUGCUUUCGUAGAAACAAACAAGCACGUUGACAUGCUCGAGACAACCAUGUACCGUGCAUCCUCCCCAUUUAAGUUUUAGCCUUCAAAAAAAUUUUGAAGAUAAGUAACUAAACUGAUUCAUCCCAACAAGUAACUCAUUGAUCUCAUUGAUAGUAGAAUUUGUUUGUUCUAAUUUGCUACUUAGCUUUCAAUUUUGAGAUAACGUGUUGGCAAACCAUUAGCGACGCGUUUGGAUAGACAUUAUUUACAUAAAAAAAUUAUUUACUUGCAUUACAAAUAUAUUUUUAACGCUCCAUUUUUUUUUAUUUCGUAUGCUCCAUUGCAUCACAAAAGGUGAUAAACAAAACACCCAUCCAAACAAACCAGCAAGCAAAGCAAAUUUCAAUGCCGAAAUUCAUGUGGGCCUGUUUGGAACCUGAGUUUUUUGGGAGUUUAUCUAAAACUUUACUGUAGUGCACUCUAGAAGUUUUUGAAAAAAUUUUGUAGAAGUUUUUGUAAGGUGAAAAUUUUUUUUGUAGAAGUUUUUGUAAAGUGAAAAAACUUUUUUUCCUUUCCUUUUUUUUUCUUUCUUUUUCUUUUUCUCUUUCUUUUUUCUUUGUCUUUCUUUACUUUUUCUUUUCUUUCUCUCUUCUUCUUCUUCUACGCAGCACCAACGCAACGCAGCAGCUUGCUCCACCCCCUACUCCGCCACCGGCCCCACCUCCAAACCUCCGCCAAGGCCUUCUCCAGCCUCUCCUUCCACGCCUCCACCUCCGACACCACCGCCAAUGCCUCCACCAGUCAUUCCUCCUACUUUCCCGCCUGCUCCACCACCAGCCCCACCUCCUGCACUACCACCUUUUCUUCCACCAGCACCUCCUCCAAUGCCACCUCUCGCCACCCCUCUCCUCUCUUUCCCCUUCUCCUCCCCUUUGCCCUUUCUCUUCCCUCUUCCCUCGCCCGGCAGUCAAGGCACACCUCCUCCACGAGCCAGUCAAAUUUUUUUUUUUUUUGCAAUUUUCAGCCUUCCCCUCUCCUCCCCUUCCCCACAAUCUGGUGCGUGGAAAAAUCCCCCUCUCCGGUGCUAUCUAGCCUCGCUACCAGAUCGCCCAGAGGGGAAGGGGAAGGGUGAUGGGGGAGGAGUGGGGGACGGGAAUUUUUUUUUUAAAAAAAAGGGUCAUACAAACUGGGUAAAGGGAGAGGAUGGUAGGGGAAGAUGUCGGGGAAAGGGAGAAAGGCCAAAAAAAAAAAAAGGGAAACGUCACCGGCGCCGGACGUGAUGGUCGGCGAUGGAGAUGGUGAUGGGUUGGGAUGGGGGAGGAAAAAGGAAAAAAAAAAAAGGAAGGGAAUUUUUUUUUUGUGUUUUGGAUAUUUUGAAGUGUGUAGGUAAAAAAUUUUGAGAAGUUUUUUGGGAUCCUGUAGCAAAAGUUGUUAAAAAAUUAAUAGGUAAAAAACUUGCUUAAAAACCUGGCUUCCAAACUGGCCCUGUAUCUUGAAAUGGAAUUGGACCUACUGAAAGCUGCCGAAUCGGCCAUCCCAUCAUUUGGUACUACUCCCCCCCAAUAGACAUAAACUGAUAAACAUCAUUCAUUGUUUUGUCAGCAUGGAUAAGCACACUCAAUGGGAGUUGUUUCACACACUUGCCAGGCCAGCCCUGAGUCCCACUUUGCUCCGGCCCCCCCCCCUCCCCCAACGGUCCUCCACGUCCUAGUCGAACUGAUGCGUGCAAGGACAAGCAAGUCUGUUUCCACUCCCGAACAAAGAAGUGGUACUCCAGUGCAGCGUGAGAAUUAUUUUUAACAUUUCUUCCCGGUACAGAAACUGAAGGAAAAAAUGUCGAAUCCCGCCCAUAUUUUCCAUCCAUUGGUGCAAUCUAUAUAUUGGCACUUCGCAGCAGUGAGAGAAGGGCUUCAACUUUUAGCUUCGCUUGGAAGGAGAUAUUAAUUUGGGCAAAGAUUUGCAUAGAUUCGCUCCACCGGCAACAAAGUGGCCACGUCGCUCACUUUCUAAUUUUGCGGCCAAAAAACCUAACGAGUUCUAAAUUUUUCUGGCUGCUUCGUUUUUUAGAGAGAGAAGGCCAAGGACUUUGAGGGAUUUGGGGCAGGACGGUCAUCAGGCAAAUCGUUCCUGUGCAGUUCACGGUCAAAAUUUGGUCAAAAAAAUUGCACAAUCCAAAUCUUCUACAGUUCAGAUCUCAUCUUAUACUUCAUUUUUAAUAAUAUGUGUAAAAUUCAUAAAAAUUUUGUUCUAAAAUUACACGUUAUUGAAAGUAAGUUACACAAUGUAUAAACAUAAUUAUUCUGUGUGCAAAUUGCACAUAACCUUCAAGAACGGUUGGAGGUUGCACCUGCAACCGUUCCUGCCCUGGUUCGACUUUGAGAAACAACAAAGCUACAAAAAGGAGAUACACUCGAGGACGACCAGUUGGAUUGAAGCCAAAAUAACUCCUCCGCCACCACCAAGUCUAGAUUUAAUGUCCCUCACUUUUUAGUUUUUAUCUCUUUUUCUUUCACGGCGUCUUUCACAUUCGACACCAAUUUCAUCAUUGGCUCUGCACAUUAAUUGGCAAAGAAUAGUAGAAAUUCGACUGGAAAAAGUUAUCAGCAGGCUUUGAAGAAACACGAUGACUUUUGCGCUUCCAAUGCAAAAGUUCUUCUUCUUCUUCUUCUUCUUAUGCGCUUCCAACGCAAGUCCUUGCCAGUACAAGAAACCCGUGUUACCACAUUACUACUCUCGAACGCACAUGGCUACAAAGGACUGGACGGGGAUGUUGCUGUUGGGUACCGUCGGUAGGUGCCACCAGGAAGCAAUUGGGAUCAAGCAGCAUUUGUUGCUCAAGUUUCUUAAUUAAACUGCAUAUCUCCAGAGAUCUAAACUCCAUUUUGUCGUCCCAGAUUUCAAUUUUGGAUGUUAGGGAUUCACCACCAAACCACUGUUUCUGCUUUCCCCUUCAAUUAUGGUCAGAAGAAGUGGUGGUGAUAAAGUGGGGAGGAGGAGGAAUUAAGGGAAGGGUAGCGGAAGUGGGAGUGACAAGGAAGAUGGCAUCAAGUCAAAGAGCAAAUAUCUAGGUUGCGUAUGGAUUGCAAUUUUUUGAAAUUUUUAUAAAAAAUGUACUGAUUUAAUAUAUAUGAAAUAAAAAAAUGAUUGAGAAAUGUUCUUAGAGAUUUUUUUGGUAGGAAAUCCCUUUCCUUCUGAAUGCUAUACCCAAAUUUCACUAUUAUAGUUAGACUAAACACUUGCGUGCUCAAGCAUGCCAUACCCAAAUUUCACGCCAGACUAGGAGAUAGAAAUUCUGCAACAGAGCAGAGCCCUUUUACGUGGGGGCGUCUACCCAACAUUUUAUCAUUUUAAGCACAGCGAGUAAUUCAAAGGCAUAUUAUCAUAUAGAACGGUAAAAACACUCCAAUAAACUAGACAACAAACGACAUGAAAUAGCUGCUUAGGCAAAAGAUGGGCAGGGAGAGGUAGGCAGCGUAUAAGUGAAUUAAAUCACAUACAUAUACAUCACUAACAGAGAAAAUAGCUUAUCCUGGCAUCUCAAUACAGUUUUUGGGCUAGUAUGACCAGUUAUUUAAUUAAAUUUGUCCACUACAUCAUGCCUCAUCUCUGAAGACGUUAUUUCCUUCAGUACCAGGAAGCAGCUGACAGAAAGGCCAACAUACUAACUGCAUUAUAAAAUCAGGGUUAACAUUACAUGAACAGAAAUAAACACAAGGAUAUACAUUAGGAGUUCAACAGAAGAAUAAUAUGAUUAAGCAGCAAAUGAAUGUUUCAUUAUAACCUUCAGCCUGGGUGAGGUACUUUGCCUGCUGAUAGGGUCAAAAAAUUUAAGCUCUCAUAUCUAAAUGAAACUGAUAUGUCAAAACCCAACCCUGAUCAGUCUUGCUCAAUGCUCCAUUUCAAGUACAAAGUCUGAACUUGAAAUCACAACAUAUUCCAGAAGAGAGUUGAAAAUUAUUGCAUUUAAGCUGAGUCUGACUAUAAUAUGUGGGCCACAAGUUACUGUUAUGAGUUGUGGCAUUUAGGGGGGGGGGGGGGAAGCACAGGAGCCAAAUAAAAUUUUACAUAACCACUCUACAAAGAAAGGUAUAACAUUUAGUGAAAAUGGAAAUUACUUUGAAAUGGAACAGAGAGGAAUGCAAAUCACUUAGCUGGAGGGAGUAAUAUGUUAAAAACAACUUGAAAUAAAAAUACAAAAUGAUGUAUCAAAUGCAAAAAGAUUACCCCAACAUUAAUUUCAAGAAGAAUGGGAAGAAAUGAAGAAAUACAACAACAAAAUCGACUUUUGUUCUUAACAAAUCACUAAAGAGACAAACAACUAGUGAUCAAGAAUAAAGAACACAAAUAGCUUAAAAAUGAACGCCUCCAAGCAUCAGCACUUAAACAUGAAACUCAGUAUGCUUUAAAGAAUUGAUUGGAACCAAAACAUUAAAUACACAACAAAAUAUAGUAUCAAAAAUCUUUUUGGGCCUACAGUGGAAAUGCUUCUCUUCUCAUAUACUUUUUCUAAUCUUGGGACAAAGGGGGCAACUUUGCACCUAAUCCCCAAAAAAAAAAUUACUAAUAAUAAUAAAAUGAGGAUAAAUCUCAAUCAAAACAUUUUACAUCAAGCUCACAUUCUCAUAAUCAUCUUAUUCAUAGUUAAUAGUGAAUUAUACAACAUAACAGAUUUAACAAGGAAAUAAGUUGAAAAGGCAAAAAUAAUACCUUAUGCAACCCAUCAACGAAGAUAUUAGCUCCUUUUCCGUACAAGCAUAUACAUUGGAAGGUAGGAACCAAGGACAAAUCACAUCACAAACCACACUAAACUUUUCAGCUCAACAUAGAUGAAAGCUAAUACUUUAUAUUAAUACCCAAAAAAUUAAAAGAGAGAGCACACAGUUUCAUGUCUUUUUUGACAUCUAAUAGCGUUAUACCCACCAACUCCAGCUACCAUAAGGUUAUUCAUAACCUUUGUACGUGGCAAAGAAAAAAAUUCAAAUAGCAAAAAACCUAAGCAAUAAAUAAGUCUAGGUAAGUGAAUAGUUGAAACCAGUAGAGCCCUUGCCAUCAACAGUGGAAUCAGGGGAACUGAGUGCUGCAAGCAAAUUGAGACCUGAACAAAACCUUAAAGACGUAAAUUCUUAAGUCUUAAACUGAGUUGGAUGAAGAAACGCAUGAAUCCCCUUUCCCCCUUCAAUCUUAUAAUCUGAUGCUCUUAAGGCAUCUUAUAGCCACAAUUUGUUUUGACUUGAACCUUCAGAGCCAACUCUAACCUUCUGUAAAUUCAUUAGCGUAAACCUUCAGCAAGAAGAUACGGGUUCGUACCUAAAAUCAGAUUUUAACUUGAGGCACUGCAUGGUUUCUUCAACUAGAAUUAAAAUUGUAUUCUAAAGGAAACCAAUCCAAUGCUACAGCAUUCACGAAUAUAGUCAAACCUUAACUUCUUCCUGUCGAUGGCUUGCUAGUUGCUACUCUAAAAACAGCAGUGCAACCUAUACUUUCCAACCUUAGACAUGCUUACAGAAAAUCUUUUCCGUAAAUAAGCACAUAGUAUUAUACAAAUAAAGUAGCUGAUCACAGACUAAAGAAACUAAAAUCAAACCAGAAUCAAUUAUUCAAGCAGACAUGAAUUCUUGCAAGCCAGAAUGUACACAUAUGAGUACAAUCAAGACACUAAAUUUUCAAAAUCGAUGCAUUUUUCUUUUCAAUACCUUGUUAAGAAGAAGAACGCUUGCCUUCACAUUCAGGACUUUCAUCGAAAUUCUUAGAUGGAAAACUUUUGGUGAUGUAGCCAACCUCGAAGGUCAAAUCCUGACCGUUGGAUCUGAUUCCACUAAUCCCCCACCACCUAAAAAAAGCCCUAACACCAAUUCCAUCAAGCCCAGCAAUACGAUUCUCUACAAUUUUACCAGUGACUUUUUUAGAGUAGGUAGCCAAGUAGUUGUCCGGAGGCAGCGUGAUGCGACACGUGUCGUCUAGCUUCAGCACGAAGUCUCCCGAAGUACGGUUGAGAUCGUAAGUUUGGAGGUUGGCAGGGAGUAAGCCUACGGGGAAGCCAUACUCGAGUAGCUCCGCGUGUGCUGCGGUUAAAGUGGGGUUUGGAGAGGAAACGGCGACGUUGCGGAGGAUGCAGGCGGUAAUGGUGAAGAUCAAGAGAGGUUUCGCGGCCAUGGCUAUGGGUGGUGUGUGCCAAUUCUCACUCCUGUAAAAAGUUGUUUGCUACCUCUGGCCUGUCAACAGGAUGAUGAGGAAUUAAUGAAUGAAUAUUCUAGCCUGGCGGUUAGGUUCUGUUUGGUUUGGGUUAGGAAGAAAAACGAUUUUUUUCUUUCUUUUACCAGGGAAGAAAAAAAAGGUCAAAUUUGCUAUUACCAAUCUUUAAAAUUGAAAAUUGGUCGGGAUCAAUAGCUAAGAACUGAAACUUGUGAGUAUGAAAAUCAAUUAAAAAUCCCUGAUUUGAUCCGUGCAAAUAUAGAACUUUUAUUUUUCUUUUCCUUUAUCUAACGGUCAUUGAUAUAUUAUUCAAUAGUAUUUAGCAAUUAGAAUAAGAUACAAAAUCCGAGUAAAAAAAAAGUGGAUAUGAUUACAAUUCACUGAUUAUGUGCAUAUUAAUAUGUAAUAUCAAUGUGCAUCUACAUAAAUUAUAAUCCUAGUUAUAUAUAACAUGUGUUCAACAAGGAGAAACGUUUGAUCGCACUCAUAUGUUAAUUUGAUUCAGCAAUUAGUCACCGAAUAAAAAGCCUAUGAAGACCCAAAUGUCCAUAGUUAGUAUUUGGCAAUAAAUGGGAAAAUCUGAUGGAUGUUAAAGGGUAACAAUUAAUAUCAAAUAAAAAUCCAAUAUUGUAGAAAUAUGUAUGAAAUCUGAUGGUUAAUUCAAUAAGGUUAGAUUGAGAUAUCUAUAAUUCAUUUGGGAUGACAAGCUAAGUUUAUUACUCCAUAUGUUCUCAAACAGCAACCGAUCUUCACCUAUAAGAUGCUAUAGGCAUAUUAUUUUGCAUGCAAUGUUUUUCUUUAUCUAUUACUCAUCUCGUUGCCCACUUCUUUUUGGUCAAUUUAUAAAAAAUUUAAAAAAAAUAAAAAGAAAUGAUAAUUAUUAUUUAGACAUAAAUAUAUGUGUUUGCAAAUUCUAUAUUAAUGCCAUAUUAAGUAUUGCACUAAGUUUUUUUUUAUUUUUCGAUGGGCUUAUUUGUUUUUUUAUAGGUGAGUUUAUUUGUCAUAAAAAGCGUAAUGUUCUUACGAAAUUAUCAAAGCCAGAUAUAGGCGAGGAGAUAUAGUCCAUUUUCAUUUUUCAAGCCAUCUCAUAAUGUAAAAAUUAAUGUGUAAAAAUAAGUUCAUGGGAUCAAAAGAAGUCCCUUUAUAGAAGUAACAAAGCACUAACAAUCAUUUGCCAACGUAGUUGAUCUAAAGGGCCUUUUUUUCAUAUCUUUCUACUCAAACAAACGCUGCCUUAGAGAACUCGUCGGUAAUUUUGGAUGCUGUGCUGCCUCAAGAAGUGCGUCGGCCAUGCAUUUUUUUCCUGUGAUUACGAUGUCGUCUAAGGCAUAUGUGGGCAUGGAGUUGUACUGACAUGAAAGUGAUGGAUUUGACUGCAACGUGGUCGUGCUGAAAUAUCUACAACCCUUACGAAUAUAUAUGAAAGGUGGAGUAACGUACAGCGAGACUUCAUGAUUUACUUACAGCGAGUGAUGAACGGUCGAGAUAGCUUGACAUACAGUGACUAGAAAACGACGGCUCUAUUUGAAUUGGCCUUUUUUUUAAAUAAAAUUUUUAAAUAUAAUAUUAUAAUAAUAUACAAUAACACAAAAAACACCUCAAUUAUAUAAUAUAUCAAAAUUUUUAAAAAUUUUUUUAUAUACAUUGCUACAAUAAAUUUUUUCCAAAAAUAUAUCAAAAAAUAGUUAAUCCAAACAAAGUAUUUAAGCGAAAAAUUUUGAAGGCGCGCUAUUACACGCAAAAGACGUCCGCACCUUUUUGAACAUUAAUUUGAUGAUAACGGUUCUGCAUAAUUACGCCUAUAUAAGGAAUACUGGAACAGAGGACUGUGGGAAGGCGGAUUGAGAGCUUAAUUAAUAUGGCCCAAUAUAAAGUCUCGGCCAAGGUUGAAGAUGUUUAUUUUUUAUGACAACUACUCUUCCAAGGCCAUAUCAGGGCUUCAAACCUCUGUUUUUAAAUUUGGAUCGGACCGGCCGGUCUAACUGGUCGAACCGAAAAUUAGCCAACUAUCUGGUCCAAGUUAACCUUAAAAAUCGGAAAAAUAAGAAUUCGAUCAAAUCAAGUCAAAAAUCGGAUUUGACCGGAUUGGAAACCGAAAAAAAUGAAGAGCUGGGUCUCUUUUUUUGAAAGGUCAAAAUAUUUUUAAUAUUAUGUUUGGGUAAAAAACAAAAAAACCCCCUGUGGUAAAUCUAAUACACAGAAAAGCCUCCUAUGGUUUCAAAAUAUACAACACGAUACCUCAUGCUUUGAACUAAAUUGUAAAGGUGACGGAAUCCGUUAAACUUAACGGAAAUGACUUAUUGGAACCUUAAAAAAAAAUUUAUACCUAAUUUUUAUGAAAUAUACCUAUUCUACCCCUUAACUCUCAAUUUUCUCUAUUUAGAAAAUAAAACAAAUGAUUUUUUGAGCUGUCUUUUGCUUAAUUAUAUCAGGACAUUUUGGUCAUUUUGUCCAUUUCCGUUAUAAAACCCCAUUUAUGAAUCGACUAUCGGAUUGAACGCAUAAUUAUGUGGUAUUUCGUAAAAGGGUUUCGGUAUAAAGAAUUGGAAUAAACCUCAUAAUCAUUGUUUAAAUUACUACUAUUGGAAUUAAAAUUUUGGAGUUAUAUCUAAAAAUGCAAUGGCAUUUCCCAAUUCCCUAGUAACUUGGAAGGUUUGGAUAAAAGCUAAGCUUGAUUCCCUUUUAGAAACGAGCCCGUCUCGCUACUCGUUAAAAAAAUUAAUAUAUAAUAAAUAUAAAUGUAAUUAUAUUUAUAAUUAUUAAAUACACAUAUAAUAUAUUUAAAAUUGUCCCAAAAUCAUCCACCCAAGUUCAAAUUAACCCCCAUCAUUGUGUGCACCGGCACCAUACAGCCAAACCUGCAACUCUACGAGCCCCCAAUCCAUGGGAACACAGUUCCACUGCUUUGUGCCAGAAAAUGCGGCUUAGCUUCACUAAAAGUUAUAAAGUACUUAUAUAUUAUUUUAAAUAGCAUCUAAUAUAACAGGAUCCAUCCAUAAAACCAAUAUUAAAAUCCUAGAACAUGACAGAACAAUGCACGUCCUACUAUAAACAACUGAGAAAGCUCCAAUUACAGUGUUUCUUAGUGCAAUAAUCCACACCAUUCCCUCACUCAGGAAGCCAUUAGGAAAACAUGCUAUCAGUCAAGGGUAAUGAUGCCAACCGAUCAGCAACAUGGCUUGAAAGCUCUUCAAUCAAAACAUUCCCCAUGGGCGGCAAUGCAUCUGUCCCACAAUCAGUAAACGCACCAGCAGCAUCCACUUUCGCAAUCUGCUGCAGCAAUUUUCCCUGCACCAUAUGAAUUUGAUUCCCUUGCUCAAACACAAGAUUUUGAAUGUUUUUAAAAAAUUAUCUAUAAUUUUGCCCACUAAUUCCUGCUUCACCCUCCUUGUCAUUCUCAAGCUAGAGGAACACACAGAACUUAUUUUGAACCCUCCAACUCAACUCUUCUUCUAAUUUCUUUAAAGUGGUUUCUUCCAUGUUCCAUCUAAUGACCAAGAAUAUGCAGAAGAUGCUAUUCAACAUUUUGGCAAGAAUUGAGUAAAAGGACAUGCAUGUAUCUUGUCAUACAAAAGCUCUACCUUUUUCACCUUUUCUCUCUUACUACAUGAGGCUGCCUGAUGAUGAAAGGGUGGUUCAGUAACAGCAACAACUUCGACUUUUACAGACCAAGAAAUAAUUAGCAAAAUUCACUGUCAACGGAGUAUUCUCCUCCAUUCUUUUAGACUUUUCCGUUAGUGUGAUUCUAUCCGAUGAUUUUGCAUUGCAAUGAAUUGCAAAAAAAGAAAUCAUUGGCUCGACAAAGUAUAUGUUGAACCUUUAACUUCUACAAGAAUAUUUCCAAGAGAAAUUUGGAUUUGUGUUCCAAACAAUUUAAGGUAAAAAAAGAAAUUAGAAUAAAGAGAGACAUUCACCAGACUUUCAGAAUACAGCACUUACUAUUGCAAGGAAAAGAAAAGGAAUCCAUACACGAUCACAUAGAUGCGUGAUUUUCAGUCAACAAAGAGACAGGAUACAGACCUUGCUUGCACCCGUGUUUAUCUGUUGAGCAAGCACAUUCCGAACAGCACAAACCACGUCAGCUGCAUCUUGUGAAUAACCAUCACAGGGUUUUGCACUGUCCAGCCCAAAAAUUUUCUUCUCAGGGUCUAGAUAAUAAGGGUCCACACGCAGGCUCACUCCAAGCGCUUCAUAGCCAUUCAUCUCCUCAAUAGCUGCUCGACAAGGUUCAUCACUGUCAAAUUGAACAAAGCCAUAGUCGGCUGAUUGACCAUCAGGACGUCUUGGGAUAUUGAUAUACCAAAUCUUUCCGUAUUUGAAAAAUAGGAAUUCCAAAAGUUCAAUGUCAGCCCAGUCUGGCAAGUUCUGCAAAAAGGUGAGGAUUAAGAAAGAAAAAAAAAAGAAGGGCAAAGCAAUUCCAAGAAAUAGUUAGAAAAACUCACAAAGGCUACAAAGUUUUGAAAAAGUAAAAGAAAUAAAAAAAGGAAAGUACAGUACCCUCACAAACAACGUGUCAGGAACCAGCCCAGUCAUUUUAGUACAUGGAUGACAAUCCAUCAUUUGGAUAGGCCUUCCGUGGAGGGUAGCAGAGGCCAGCUUGUUCAUUGCCAAAUCAGCUGUCAUCAUUAUGGUAAAACAGUAGGGAAAAAAUAAUUACACAUAGCACUUUGAAGGAUUGGAAUAAAACUAAAUACUAUGACAAAAACAUGCUUUGCUAUUGCAAGCAAUCUCUUAUGCUUUUGAAGAGAAUUGCAAAAUGAAACAUAAUAUAAAAGCAAAGCACGGAUCUGAACUGCAAAUAGGAAAACAAUAUUCAAGCAAAAAAGCCAUGGUCGAUAAGCUGCAUAUGGAAUAAAUAUCUUUUUAGAGCCGUUCUUUCAUACCUUAAAUCAAUCCUUAUGUUAAAAUGGAAGAAAACAAGGAAAGUGGGAAUGCACAAGCUCCGAAGGGGAUUAAGAAGGCGAGGAUUGAACUCUCGUUCCAAUGGACCAGGCGAUAUUCAAUAAAACAGAAGCCACAUUGAACCCACCCCGCACACAAUAAUUGGUUCCCACACGUCAAAAUAAUGUUGUAACAGUUAUCAUAGAUGAUAUAUUUUGGUUAAAUGAAAAAUGCUCCUUAUACGUUAACCAUUGAUCACCUUGAUCAAGGAUCUCUCUGACAAGGGGAAAAAAAACUUCAAUUGCCAUGUGAUCCCAUUCUAAGGAGGCACCACUGAAAGAAGAAACUUAAAUAUUUCAUCACUCUUAGAUACUGAGUCAAAAGACAGACACUUGCAUGACAACAAAUUCCUGGCACGUACUAAAUCAAGGAAGAUCCCAACUACAGCUCGCCUAUAUGCAAGAAUAAUCGGGAAUCUUUUCCAAUUUCUGACUUCAAAAAGAGAAACAGGUAUUCGCUCUUCAACAAAAGUCCUAGUACGAUAAUCCAUUCCUCAAAAAUCAUAAUCUAUUUCCACAAACGACAGACAUGGUUCAACAGUUGGCAAUCACUCGUUCAUGACACAAUUGGUCUGCUUUAAAAACGCCAAAAAAAGGGGGGAAAGGGUUAAACAGAAGUUUAUCUAAAUAGAUUUGCAACAAGAGACAUGAACAAUUAGAAAUUCCUCAAUGGCCAACCUUAUAAUGAAUUUUGCAACUACAGAUAUGAAUCACACGAAGCAGCUAUAAAGCAAAGGAAAACAAUUUCAUCAACAGCUGGAUGUCAACAAAACUGACCAUGUUCUUUCUUCGCAAAGGAAACCAGGGCAUAGCGGCCAAUUAUGGAGUCACAGAGAAUCUCAGUCCUAAUCGCGACACACACGCGGAAGAGGCGAUGAACAUCCGCUCCCGUCACGGUAUCGGCCAAAGUCCAAACAUAAAGCAUCGGCAGCCCAGAACCAGCCGAUCGAAGACUACUCAUCUUCUGCUGCACUCGAUCUCCUCCCCGAUAUCUACUCGGUUGGUUUGUGUACUCGUUUUGAACCAAUUCCUAAUUCUCUCGCUUCUAUUCUUCUACAGGAUUCCUUUUCUAUGUUAGUACGCUGUUUUGGGGUUCGACUUGAGUUAUAGGAAAAACGGGAAUUGAGCUUCAAAAUCAUAUAAAAUGUUCAGCGAAUGUUAAAGUCUCAUGGCAUACGGCCUUUUAAUCUUCCACCUACAGUGGCUAAGAGUUAACAAGGGUCCCCCCAGGCCCAAAAAAAUGGCCUUUUAAUCUUGUACCAGCAGUUGCUGAGCAUUAAGAAGGGUCCCCGAGGCCCGUAAAAUCAAUCCCAGUGAUGCAUAAAGUACAAUCUUAAUUGUUUUGAUGAUCCGUAGGGACCUUCACGCAUGCAGGACACGAGCCUCUCGGGUUUCCAACAAUAAUUAAACAAACAAAUCUUCCAAUAUAUAAAGGGGUUAGUCAAGACUUAAGAAAUUGGGGGUCUUUUUCCUACCAGAAAAAAAUUUAAGAAUUGGAACCACGUUAUCUCAUACAGUAAAAAUGAAUGUUAAAAAAAAUUCAUGUGAUCAAAAGAAGUCUCUUUCGAAGAAAAGCACUAAUAUUUGUCACAUUAAAGAGAGCACUAAUAUUUGUCAAAAGUAGUUGAUCUAAAGCAUUUUUCACAUUUUUAUACUCCAACAAACGCAGCUUAAGAGAACUUGUCAGUAACUUGGAUGUUCUCUUAACUCUCGAGAAGUGCGUCGUCAGCCAUGCAUUUUUUUCCCUUGACUACGAUGAGAGUGUUUGGAUAGAAAAUUAUUUAAAAUAUUAUUUAAAAUUAUAAUUAUAGUAUAUUUUGUGAUGUGAUAUACAUAAAUAAAAAAAUAAUUAAAAAAAAUAUGUUAAAUAUUGUACUUGUGAUAUAAGCAAAUAAUUUUUCCAUGUGAGAGCUAAGAGAAGGAAAAAAAAUGGAGUGAUGUGUGUGUAGUGGAAGUGGCGUGAGUGAGCCAAGAGGCAUGCUGGAAGUUUUUUUUAUUUUUUUUGGGAAAGAGGAGGGUCGAGAGAGGGAAUUGAGAGGGGAAAAUUGGAGUCUUGUUUUUUUUGUGUGGCUUGAGAGAAAAAGAAGAAGACCAGAGAGAGCCUCGAGUGGUUUUCUUUUUGUUGCGUCUGUCCUCUCUAAAAGAAGAAGCCAGGCCGAGAGAUGGUUGGGAGUGAAGAGUGCUUUUUUUUUUCUCUGUCUUUGUGCCUUGGUCCUCUUGGACAAUAAGAGACCGUGAGAUUGUCCAAAAGAGUCAGUGGAAUUUGGUUGCCAAAAAAUGAUUAUCUUCACCAAAUGACAAGAAGGAUCCAUGAGAUAAUAUGAUGGAUUUUUUACCGGAAUGAGAAGAAAGAUCAAUGAGGAUGGAGUGUAAAAAUGGGUUAAUAGUAGUUUUGGUGAAACAAAAAUGAUUACAGAAAAUUUUUUCCGUAAAUAAGCACAUAGUAUUAAACAAAUAAAGUAGCUGAUCACAGACUAAAGAAACUAAAACCAAACCAGAAUCAAUUAUUCAAGCAGACAUGAAUUCUUGCAAGCCAGAAUGCACACAUAUCAGUACAAUCAAGACACUAAAUUUUCAAAAUCGAUGCAUUUUUCUUUUCAAUACCUUGUUAAGAAGAAGAACGCUUGCCUUCACAUUCAAGACUUUCAUCGAAAUCCUUAGAUGGAAAACUUUUGGUGAUGUAGCCAACCUCAAAGGUCAAAUCCUGACCGUUGGAUCUGAUUCCACUAAUCCGCCACCACCUAAAAAAAGCCCUAACACCAAUUCCAUCAAGCCCAGCAAUACGAUUCUCUACAAUUUUACCAGUGACUUUUUUGGAGUAGGUAGCCAAGUAGUUGUCCGGAGGCAGCGUUAUGCGACACGUGUCGUCUAGCUUCAGCACGAAGUCUCCCGAAGUACGGUUGAGAUCGUAGGCUUGGAGGUUGGCAGGGAGUAAGCCUACGGGGAAGCCAUACUCGAGUAGCUCCGCGUGUGCAGCGGUUAAAGUGGAGUUUGGCGAGGAAACGGCGACGUUGCGGAGGAUGCAGGCGGUAAUGGUGAAGAUCAAGAGAGGUUUCGCGGCCAUGGCUAUGGGUGGUGGCGGUGCGUGCCAAUUCUCACUCCUGUAAAAAGUUGUUUGCUACCUCUUGACUGUCAACAGGAUGAGG